AAAGCUCCAUAAUGUAGAUAUAAGCUCCUAAGGCAUACUUAGUUGCAAACUUUACAUUCAUCCAAGAUGAUAAUGACUUAAAUCAAGCUAAAGAAGAGAUUCUAGGCAAGGGAAAUACACUAGCAUGCUAAAGAAUGAGACUUUAAGAUAUUGUAAGGACCAAGAUGAGCCUAAAUCUGAAGUUGCAACUCCAAAUCUUGGUUCAUCACUCGAAAUGAAGUACCAACAUACCAAAAUGGCCCUAAAACACAAAUAUAGAAGGAUCUAGCUAGAAGAAGUUCAAGGUAACGACUUGAUACCUUCAAAUGAUGCUAAACUUGGGCAGACUUCAGAUCCACACACGUUCCUUGCCUCAAACUUCUUGAUCUUCAAGCUCCUUUCACCAAGAUCCACCUUUCAAUCUUAAAACACACAAGUAUGGAGAGAAAACCGCGAUUUAGGGUUUUUGGACUCACAAGUGGCUGUAAGGGAGGUUAAGAGAGGCUAAUGACCCUUUAAAUAGGGUGCAAAACCUUGGAAAUUAGGGUUUCAUCCUCCAGCUCCAGCUCCAACUCGUCGAGUCAGGGCCUCCAACCCGUCGAGUAGACUUUUCAAUAUGAAAGAAUAAAGAUGAAAAUUAAUACCUAAGAGUUUGGGUGUUACAAUUCUCCCCCACUUGAACUAGACUUCGUCCUCGAAGUCCGCUGCGGUGAACAUCUUUGGAUAUUGCUCCCGUAUCUAAGCCUCUGACACCCAUGUCCACUCAGACCUUUUACAGUGCUCCGAUUGUAAUUUUACCAAAGGUAUCUCCUUGUUCCGUAGAAUCUUCACUUUCCUCUCCAGAAUGGCCACGAGCCUCUCCACAUAAUUCAGGUGCUCAUCAACCUGAAUGUCAUCCAAUGAUACCACCGCCUGCUCAUCCAGAAUGCACUUUCGCAAUUGCGAAACGUGAAAUGUGAUGUGGAUCCGAUUGAGCUCCUCAGGAAGAUCUAGUCUAUAUGCCACCUUGCCAACCUGGAAAUGAUCCUGAAUCGUCGAAUGUAUCGGGGCCCAAUUUCCCCCUCUUCCUGAAGCGGAUCACACCCUUCCAGGGUGAGACCUUCAGGAAUACCAUAUCACUGACCCGGAAUUCUAACUCUAAUCGAUGUCGGACGACGUAGCUCUUCUGUCUACUCUGUGUGGUCUACAACCAUUGUCUAAUAUGCUAAAUCAUCUUCGUAGUUUGUAAGACCACCUCGGUCCGACCUAUCACCCUGUGGCCCACCUCACCCCAACAAACCGGGGUGCGACAUCUCCACCCGUACAACAGCUCAAAAGGUGGGACACCAAUACUGGAAUGAUAAGUUUUGUUGUAGGCGAACUCUACAAGGGGUAGGUGGGAAUCCCAACUCCCACCAAAAUCGAUGACACAAGCCCUUAACAAGUCCUCAAGGGUCUAUAUAGUCCGCUCACUCUGGCCAUCGGUCCGCGGACGAUAUAUUAUGCUAAAAUGAAACCGAGUGACCAGCUCCUCGUGGAACUUCUGCCAGAAACGAGAGGUGAAUCUAACAUAACGGUUGGACACAAUAGAGACCGGUCUGUGGCGAGCAACGAUCUCGCGGCCAUACAUGUUAGCCAACUUCUCGGCCAACGAGCUCUCCUGUAUGGCCAGGAAAUGGGCACUCUUGGUCAGUCAAUCCACUAUGACCCAUAUAGCAUCAAAUCCCUUCACUGUCCUCGGCAACUUGGUAAUGAAGUCCAUUGUGAUAUGUUCCCAUUUCCACAUGGGAAUCUCUAGAGGCUGCAUCUUUCCAUGCGGCCUCUGAUGCUCGACCUUGACUAUCCGGUAGGUCAGGCACCUCUCAAUGUACCAAGCGAUUUCUCGCUUCAUGCACAACCACCAAUAGCUUAAGCUCAGAUCCCGAUACAUAUUAGUGGCUACCGGGUGAAUAGAGAAGUGGGACUUAUGAGCCUCCUCAAUCACCGUCUGUCUGACCCCACCAGACAUUGGAACCCAAACCAGACCGCAUCGGGUCAACAAUCCCCGACUAUCCUGCACAAAUCGGGUGUUCUUGCCCCUGAUCCUCUCUAGUUCCCAGUUCUCGGGUCGCAUGCCCUUAGCCUGAGCAUCUCUAAUCAAACACACGAGCGGAGAGUCCACUGAUAUCCUCAUACAUGACACUGGUGUGGAAGACCCAGUUGACUUGUGGCUCAAUGCGUUCGACACCACGUUGUCUUUACCUGAGUGGUAAAGGAUCUCAAAGUCGUAGUCCUUGACUACAUCCAACCACCGGCACUGUCUCAUAUUCAGGUUUGGCUGAUCCAUGAUGUAUCUUAGGCUCUUGUGGUUCAUGUAGAUGGUACAACGGACCCCAUAGAUAAUGUCUCCAAAUCUUGAGGGCGAAUACCACUGCCACCAGCUUCAGAUCGUGAGUAGGGUACCUUGUCUCAUGCGGCUUCAGCUGUCACGAUGCGUGUCACACCCCAGCCAUCGGCGGAAACACUAGGUAGUGUAACAUCAUUCUUCGUAUCACAAUUAUAUAACAUACAUUGAACACUACUAAAGAAAAUACAUACCUUUAUUGAUGAUUGAAAGUUACAUUAUUGUUUUUCUAGUAUCUAUUACAUAAUAUCUGACUAUGGUAUACUUCUUAAUGAACAGAAAGAUAAUAGUAAAGCUUCUCAUGUUCGAAUACAUACCAACUUUUCAAGUUCCUAAAAACAAAUGCAUUUUAAAAUACGUCAACAUAAAGUUGGUGACUCCACAGGUUUUGACUCCAUAAAGUAAUACAUAUUCCACGUUCAAAAGUAUAGUUUUAAAAGUAUCAUUUUGACUCUCCAACAUUUAGUAUGUAUAUUAGGUAUAAUAGUUUACUUAUAAAUUAAGUGGUAUACCUAAAAAUUCCAUAAUUCGAAGGUAUAAGUAAGGGGAAACUUAUACUUAACAUUAAUACUUGUAUACGACAAAGUAUAAUGUUACUAACAAUUUGCUACCAUGAGCCUGUAACCGCUGCUAUGACAUAAUACCUCUGAUAGAACAUACUCAUGAUUUACCAUGAGAAAUAAACACACUCAUGAUUUACCAUGAGAAACAACGCCGUACGCUUUAUCGACGCCGGAACAAUAACAAAUAAAAGGAUAGUUCAUCACUUGCUUUUGGUUGAAUGUAGCUAACAGUCACAAGUGGGGUGGUCAACCCGUAUACUAUUUAUACACGACUUCCUCGCUCAUACGGUAUUAACGGUUAUAGUUCAGAGGACUUCUGCUAAGAUCCCCAAUUUUAGUUGAUGAAUACAAUUACUCAUGUAGAAUCUGACGACUUCCUAUAGCUGUAACAACAAAAGCAUUUGCAUGUCUAAAACCAUAAGUUACUAGACUAUGCUUUUAAACAUUACUCCUUACUUCAUGCUAUUUAGGCAGUAUAACAGCUAUAUCUUGAAGUAAAACCAGGUUUUAUUUUUGACCUAAAACCAAUAAUAACAACAUAUAAUGUUCCUAGUUUUAUCUUGACAUAAAACUAUCAAUAACAAUACUAAGUUUUAUAUUAACAUUAAAGUAACAAUAAAAACAUAUAACAUGUCCAGUUUUAUCGUGACAUAAAACCAAUAAUAGCAACAUACUUUAUAACUUAACAUAUAGAACUUCCGAAUAUAACUUUGGAACUAUAUCGCACACAACAUAUAUAUAGAAUCGUAAGCAUAACUUAAGAUCUACAUUAGUAAAAUAACAUGCCAACAGAUUGAUAAUAGUUGUAUAUAUUCAAAAUAUUAUAUUUAGAACAACUAAAUCCCGGUUAUUAUAAAUAUCUAUGUUGAUACUAAUAUAAUAUCAUAUAGACAUAAUAGUAACGUAUAUACUUUAUUUAGCAUGCGUUUUCCCCCGAAAAUAUUAGAAAGUGGGGCCGUGAAACUCACCCUUGUAGCGUGAUUUUAUGUAAUCUAAGCAGAAAUGGUCAGCGUACAAGGUCGUCGGGGCUUGGGAUGCAAGAGGGCCUCAGCAAAUGAGAGAAAGGGAAGAAGUUUAUGUGUAAGAAUGGCUGAAGUCGGACCUGCUAUUUAUAGUAAGAAUUUUAGAACAUCACGUCAUGAGUUUUAUAAGGCUCACAUCGUGAGUCUUGUAUACUCAUCCUGUAGACUUGCCAUUUGCGUCCCUAGCUUCGGAAGGUGGCUAUGUGACUCCUCACGUCGUGAGAUAUCUUUGCUCACGUCGUGAGUUUGGAUCUUAUCCCCUCGCAGCCUCGUCACAAACCUUCUAGAUUCUGAGAUAUGGAUAAAUGACUUCUUACGUCGUGAGUCCUGUGCUCACAUCGUGAGCUCAGUCAGAUUAGGGUUUCUGACAGCUGAAUCUUCGGAAGGUCGUAACUUUCACAUACGAACUCCGGUUUUGACGUUCUUUAUAUGCACGCUUACGUAUUUACAAGUACUACAACUCUCUUUUAGAUUUUAAAAGCUAAUUAUAAGUAUAUUUUAAAUUCCUCUUACUAUAGAGAUUUAUAGUGUUCGGUUUAUCAUAACUUCUUUUAUGCGAAGUCAGAUUCAGACAUACUUUAUGUUUUUGGAAUCGUAUGGACGUAUACUUGGAGUUGUAUCAUAAAGAAAGUUAAAAUUUGUUUUAGAAUUUAUCAUGAACUACAUAACACUCUUAUCACAUUACUAGUUUAACAAAAUCACAUUACACGUUUGGCAUAAUCACAUGUCAUUGUUUAUUGACCUAUUUUGACUAGUGUUAGAUUCUCCCCCCGUUAGAAUAAUUGUGUCCUGAAAUUUAUCUUAUGGAUGGGGUUUUGCCAAAUAAUUGAGGGUAUUUUUCUUUCAUCUGAUAUUCACGUUCCCAAGUAAUUUCAGGUCCUCGUAAAUAGUUCCAUCGAACUUUCACUAUGGGAAUACGACUUUGCUUUAGUCGUUUGACUUCUCGAUCCAUGAUCUCAACAGGUUCUUCCACAAAGUUGAGUUUUGUAUUGACUUGUAUCUCUUCGAGAGGUAUAACAAGAGUGUCAUCAGAUAGACAUCUUUUGAGGUUUGAUAUGUGAUAAACAUUGUGCACAAUACUUAGUUCCUGAGGCAAUUUGAGUUGGUAUGCAACAAAACCAAUUCUUGCCAGAAUUUCAAAAGGUCCUAUAUACCGAGGGUUUAGUUUGCCUCGUUUCCCGAAUCGAAUUACACCUUUCCUAGGAGAGACCUUCAACAUUACUUUAUCUCCAACUUGGAAAUCUAAAGGCUUACGUCUUAUGUCAGCAUAGCUCUUUUGACGAUCACACGCAACCUUUAAUCGAUCCUUAAUUUGCAUGAUCUUUUUAGUUGUCUCGUGGAUUAUUUCUGGUCCAGUACGUAAGGUAUCACCGAUACAUUCCCUGGCCAUCUGUGUAUCUCCAACUUCUACCCAACAUAUCGGGGAACGAUAUUUUCGUCCAUAAAGAGCCUCAAACGGUGCAACCUUGAUGCUUGUGUGAUGACUAUUAUUGUAGGAAAAAUCAAUUAACGGUAAAUGAGUAUCCCAUGCAUUUCCAAAUUCUAUUACACAGGCUCAGAGCAUAUCUUCUGAAGUUUGAAUGGUCCUCUCACUCUGACCAUCAGUCUGUGGAUGGUAAGCUGUACUCAUGUCUAGACGUGUUGUUAAGGAUUUUUGUAGAGAUUGCCAAAAUCGUGAAGUGAAUCUACUAUCUCGGUCAGAAAUAAUAGCGUUUGGAACUCCAUGCAAUCUAACAAUUUCCUUAAAAUAAACUCUAGUGUUCUUCUCCAUCUUGUCGUUCUCCUUAAUUGGUAAGAAAUGGGCGGACUUAGUCAAUCUAUCGAUUAUUACCCAAAUAGUGUCGGACACACUAGGAGUUUUAGGUAACUUAGUGAUAAAGUCUAUUGAUAUCUGCUCCUAUUUCCAUUCAGGUAUUUCCGGUUGUUGAAGUAAGCCUGAAGGCUUUCGAUGUUCUGCCUUUACUCUAGAACAAGUCAAACAUUUGCUCACAUAAGUAGCAAUUUCUGCCUUCAUGUUUGGCCACCAAUUGUGUACUUUUAAAUCCAAGUACAUUUUGUCAGAGCCUGGAUGCACAGAAUAUAUGGACUAAUGGGCUUCUUCUGAGACCAAGUCCCUGACUCCACCGAACUUAGGCGUCCAAAUUCAGUUCAUAAAGUGUCGCGUUCCGUCAUCUUUUUUUAUAAGUUGAUUUUCCAUUCCUCGCAAAGCUUCGUUCUUGAUGUUUUCUUCUUUUAGAGCCUCAAGUUGAGCUUCUCUAAUUUGUGUGGUAAAGUUAGAAUGGAUAGUUAUAGUUAAUGCUCGUACCCGUCGGGGUUUAAUAUAUUCUUUCCGGCUCAAGGCAUCUGCUACCACGUUUUCCUUUCCGGGAUGAUAACGAAUCUCACAUUCGUAAUCAUUCAACAAUUCAACCCAUCUUCUUUGUCUCAUAUUAAGAUCUUUUUGGUCGAAUAUGUGUUGGAGACUCUUGUGGUCGGUAAAAAUAGUACACUUAGUACUGUAUAAGUAAUGUCUCCAAAUUUUUAGUGCAAAAACUACAGCUCCCAAUUCAAGAUCAUGGGUAGUGUAAUUAUUCUCAUGCACCUUAAGUUGUCAUGAUGCAUAGGCGAUAACUUUUCCUCUUUGCAUCAACACACAUCCCAAUCCUUGAUUUGAUGCGUUGCAGUACACGACGAAAUCUUCUGUCCCAUCUGGAAGGGAUAGGAUUGGUGCACUACACAACAUUUUCUCCAGUUUCUGAAAAGCAAAUUCUUGUUUGUCUUCCUAGUUGAACUUCGUAUCCUUCUAGGUUAGUGUUGUAAGCGGCUUGGAUAUUUUAGAGAAAUUCACUAUGAAUUUGUGGUAAUAGCGAGCAAGUCCUAGGAAUUGACGCACUUCUGUUGGUGUCUUUAGUGCGUGCCAAUUCCUAAUUGCCUCGAAUUUGGAUGGGUCAAUAUGAAUUCCUUCAUUUCUAACUACAUGACCUAAAAAUUUUACUUUUCUAAUCCAAAACUCGCAUUUGGAGAAUUUAGCGUACAACUUUUAUUUUCUUAGUAGCUCCAAGAUUAUUUGCAGGUGUUGACCAUGUUCUUCCUUGGUUCGUGAAUAUAACAAUAUAUCAUCGAUAAAUACGAUCACAAAUUUAUCCAAGUAUGGUUUGCAAACGCGAUUCAUGAGAUCCAUAAACACUGCUGGGGCAUUGGUCAAUCCAAAAGACAUAACUAAGAACUCAUAAUGACCAUAACGAGUUCUAAAUGCUGUUUUUGGAAUGUUGUCUUCUUGUACCCUGAGUUGAUGGUAUCCUGAUCUAUGAUCUAUCUUUGAGUAGUAGCUAGAUCCUUGCAGUUGAUCGAAUAGAUCAUCAAUUCUUGGAAGCGGAUAACGAUUCUUGAUCGUUAACUUGUUUAGCUCCUGAUAAUCAAUAUACAUUCGAAAGGAUCCUUCCUUCUUCUUGACAAACAAUAUUGGUGCUCCCCAAGGUGAAAAACUUGGUCGGAUAAAGCCUUUGUCAAGAAGUUCUUGUAGUUGGCUAGAUAAUUCUUGCAUUUCAGAUGGAGCCAAUCGAUAAGGAGAUUUCGCUACCCGUACUGCUCCUGGAAUUAAGUCGAUUCGAAACUCAACUUGUCGGACGGGAGGUAUUCCAGGUAGAUCUUCAGGAAACACGUUUGGGAAAUCACAUACUGGAGUUAUGUCCUUGAUUUCUUUUGGCUUUCUCUUCCUAUCUACAAUGUGGGCUAAGAAUGCGCUAAAUUUCUAUGUAGAUAUUUCUGGGUCUUAGUACAAGAGAUGACUUCGAGGUUCUUCCCAGAUUUAUCACCAUAGAUAAUCAGGGCUUUGCCGUUUGGAAGGGUAGUCGUAUGGCUUUCUCAUGACAUAAAAUUUCGGCGCGGUGUGGAGAUAACCAAUCCAUGCCAAUUACGACAUCAAAAGUACCGAUAGGCAUUGGCAUGAGGUUGACGUGAAAAAAGGUAGUUAUUAAGAGUUACCAGACAGUUUUAUGGGAUUUCAUGUGUUUUCUCAGAUUGUCCGUUAGUGAUUUCUACUUCAUAGAUUUCUUUUAAUCUACUAGACUUAUGACUUCACAAUUUUCUAAACGUCGGAGUUAUAAAACUUCGAUCUGCCUUAGAGUCGAAGUGUAUAGUAGCAUAUAAAUUAUCUAUAAGAAACGUACCAGAUACGACCGACGGGUCCUGGAUAGCCUCUCUGCUUCCGAUCACAAACACCCUGCCACGUCCUAUGCCUCCUUGAAUCCUUAACUUUGGACAUUCUUUCUUGAUAUGUCCAACCUCCCCACACUCGUAGCAUUUUCUUCCUUCACCACGCCCUGUCCCAUUAUUGGUUUGUUGAUCGACUGUUGCAGGUGUUGUGCUCCUGCAGUAACUAGCAGUAUGCCCUUUUUUCUUGCACUUCAUGCAGACAAAACAGUCACCUGGAUGAUGACGUUUGCACUGAUUGCACCAUGAAGAUUUUGGUUGUGUAGGUACUGCAUAAUUGGUUGCCACUCCUUGUCUUUUCUUAGAUGAUUGUUUGGGAUUGUUCCUAUUAAACUUGCGCUUGUUUGUUCUAGAUUUGGGAGACUCAGCCUUUGAGACCACUUCUGUUCCUUGGAUCUUUGUGACGAUUAGCUGAUGAGCUAUCCUCUUGGUUCUGUCAUAAGUCGUAGGAUUUGAUGCGAUCACUAUGACUUUGAUUUGCGAUGCUAAACCCCAGAUAUAUCGCUCAAUCUCUUUAUGUUCAGGGGUUACAAGUGUUGGACACAUUACAGCAAGAUCAUUAAAUCUAGCGGUAUAAGAUUUUAUCUCUGAACCCUUCAUGGUUAGGGUCCACAGUUCUUGUUCUAGUUGAUGUAUCUCCUCCCUAGGAAAAUACUCCUCUACUAGCAUCAUUUUUAGCUCCUCCCAUUUCAUGGAAUUUGCAGUAUCAAUUCCCAUGGUAUUCACAUGGUUGUUCCACCAGGUGAGUGUUGUAUCAGCGAAAGUACAUGCUGCAAAUCAUACUUUCCAAUUAUCUAGACAGAAGCUUAUUUGAAAGACGGACUCUGUCUUUUCUAUCCACCUUGUCAAAUUAACUACCCCCUCAUUUCCAUGAAAGCUUUUUGGCCUGCAAUUCAUAAAAUCUUUGUAGGUACAUGUUCUAGCGGUUCCUACAUGGCCUUCAUUUCUAACUCCAUCUCUUGUGACAUUAGAUAGAGCCGCAACAAUUCUUUGAGCUAUGAUUUCUUCAAGUUGUAUUGUACUUAUCGAGGGGUUUAUUUCUGGUGGUGGUUGCGGUUGUUGUUGUUGUGGUGCUGAAGGUCGGUUAGGGUUUAGCCGAUUACUCCUUCUAGGCAUUUUGUUUUAGUUCCUAUUAUAAAUAAUAAGAUUUUUAUGAGUUUUGCUAAUCAUUUAAUACACGUGUACUAAAUACUCUAGUUAUUAUUCAAAGUGUAAAACAUAAUAGACAACACAAUGAUUACUGUAACGUACGCUUUAUAUUAUUACCAGCAGUUACAUCAGUUUAUUUUAGGUUUAUAAGAGAAAAGUUUCUAUAAUCAUUUCAAAUUUUGCAAGGUUUUCUACAUCCUUGUUAUAAACUUCCCUCUUUUUGCCUUAACUAGUUUGAUUUUCUCUAUUUACAUAACCACUAGUUGUAGCUUAUCUACCAGAAACCUAAGUGAUGACCUAGCAUGUCAGUGACAUUCACCACUUGCUCUUCAAGUGCUUGAGUUCUCUGCUCAAGACUUCCCGUGAGUUCUUCAUUUCUUGAGGUUUGAUUGUAGAGCUCUAACUCUACAAUCCUAGCAUCGUGAGUAAUCAAGUCAUUAUAAGCAAAAUUUAUACGAUGAUGGACAUCCAUCACCGAUUCCUGAUCUCGUGUCCUUUGUCCUUCUAGCCUUUGUACUCUUCCAGAGAGAUGAGUAGCCCUCCCUUCGACAAUUUCCAUCUUAUCUUCAAUUUUCACACUUUUCUCAAACAAUUGAGAUAAAGUUUUAUCUUCAGCAGAAUGUGGGAGAUGUGGUCGAGAUGAUUGACCAGUCUCAUAUAUCUUGGCAGCUUUUUCUUCCGCCACCCACUUAUCAACUGUUUGUGCAAUCCGUGCAGCUUCAUCUUGAACUCUAUGAAUUCCUGAAGAUGUUGCCUUCUGACUCUUCUUAAUCUUUUGCCAUAUUGGUUUAGAUUUACGUGUCGUGCGUUUCAUUUUUACUCCUCCUAGAACUUUAUGGUAAAGAGUGUUCAGUGGUGGGAAAGAUGAUGCCACCGACUAUGUCUCCUCCAUGGAUUUGCUUUCUUCCAUUGGUUCACUCUCUUCCCAUUCGUUGGAGGGUAAAGGUGCUCCAUCGUCAGAAGGUAUUGGAUGAAAAGUGGUUGGAUUUAUAGGGUAGUAAGGAUCACCUACCAUCAUGGGGAAUGAAACUUCCUCUUCUUCAUCCGUGUCCUCGAUGAUUAUCCAUUCUCUUGAAUGUGCCAUGCCAAAUUCCUAUACGUUUUGGAUCACCAAAAAGUUUUAGUCUAUCAAAUAUUACUCCCAAAUUAAAUAGUUCAUAUGAUCUGAUCAUAAUAAAAUGUAGUUGCGCACCUACACCUAGUUGUGAUAGGAUAUAUGCACAUAUAAACUUUAGUUGGAAUAUUUGAUCUAAAUCCCAGAGAUCAAAAACAUUCCAGGUAUUAAGGUUUUUUCACACCGCGGGUCUGAGUCUUUAUAUAUGACUCUAUAUUCUUAUUUAUUGUAUUCACGCUUUUACUAUUGUUUGUUACUUCAGGUCUAUCUGAUAAGGCUCCGACCAAUCAGGAUUGACGAAAGGGCAGGAUCAUUUUAGCAUAUAGUCGUUCUAAAAUCUAGCAACCCAAAUCGACAUGUCUAUCCUUGUCACCACUCCCGUAAGUAGUCCUUUAGUAGAAUAAUUAAUAAUACUUAUUAUUUAUAGGCUAAGGGACAUACCUAAAACUAAUAGAGUAAGUCCUAAACUAUAGACGUGCUUUCCUAAGAAAGUACUAGUUCACUAUACUUAAUAGCUCUGAUAUCAAUCUAUCACACCCCAGCCAUCGGCGGAAACACCAGGUAGUGUAACGUCAUUUUUCGUAUCACAGUUAUAUAACAUACAUUGAACAAUACUAAAGAAAAUACAUACCUUUAUUGAUGAUUGAAAGUUACAUUAUUUUUUCCUAGUAUCUAUUACAUAAUAUCUGACUAUGGUAUACUUCUUAAUGAACAUAAAGAUAAUAGUAAAGCUUCUCAUGUUCGAAUACAUACCAGCUUUUCAAGUUCCUGAAAACAAAUGCAUUUUAAAAUACGUCAACAUAAAGUUGGUGACUCCACAGGUUUUGACUCCAUAAAGUAAUACAUAUUCCAUGUUCAAAAGUAUAGUUUUAAAAGUAUCAUUUUGACUCUCCAACAUUUAGUAUGUAUAUUAGGUAUAAUAGUUUACUUAUAAAUUAAGUAUUAUACCUAAAAAUUCCUUAAUUCUAAGGUAUAAGUAAGGGGAAACUUAUACUUAACAUUAAUAGUUGUAUACAACAAAGUAUAAUGUUUCUAACAAUUUGCUACCAUGAGCCUGUAACCGCUGCUAUGACAUAAUACCUCUGAUAGAACAUACUCAUGAUUUACCAUGAGAAACAAACACACUCAUGAUUUACCAUGAGAAACAACACCGUACGCUUCAUCGACGCCGGAACAAUAACAAAUAAAAGGAUAGUUCAUCACUUGGUUUUGGUUGACUGUAGCAAAUAGUCACAAGUGGGUUGGUCAACCCGUAUACUAUUUAUACACGACUUCCUCGCUCAUACGGUAUUAACGGUUAUAGUUCAGAGGAUUUCCGCUAAGAUCCCCAAUCUUAGUUGAUGAAUACAAUUACUCAUGUAGACUUUGACGACUUCCUAUAGCUGUAACAACAAAAGCAUUUUCAUGUCUAAAACCAUAAGUUACUAGACUAUGCUUUUAAACAUUACUCCUAACUUCAUACUAUUUAGGCAGUAUAACAACUAUAUCUUGAAGUAAAACCAGGUUUUAUUUUUGACCUAAAACCAAUAAUAACAACAUAUAAUGUUCCUAGUUUUAUCUUGACAUAAAACUAUCAAUAAAAAUACUAAGUUUUAUCUUAACAUAAAACUAACAAUAAAAACAUAUAACAUGUCCAGUUUUAUCUUGACAUAAAACCAAUAAUAGCAACAUACUUUAUAACCUAACAUAUAGAACUUCCGAAUAUAACUUUGGAACUAUAUCGCACACAACAUAUAUAUAGAAUCCUAAUCAUAACUUAAGAUCUACAUUAGUAAAAUAACAUGCCGACAGGUUGAUAAUAGUUAUAUAUAUUCAAAAUAUUAUAUUUAGAACAACUAAAUCCCGGUUAUUAUAACUAUCUAUGUUGAUACUAAUAUACUAUCAGAUAGACAUAAUAGCAACGUAUAUACGAUAUUUAGCGUGCGUUUUCCCCCGAAAAUAUUAGAAAUUGGGGCCGUGAAACUCACCUUGGUAGCAUGAUUUUAUGUAAUCUAAGCAGAAACGGUUAGCGUACAAGGUCGUCGGGGCUCGGGAUGCAAGAAAGCCUCAGUAAAUGAGAGAAAAGGAAGAAGUUUAUGUGUAAGAAUGGCUGAAGUCGGAACUACUAUUUAUAGUAAGAAUUUUAGAACAUCACGUCGUGAGUUUUAUAAGGUUCACGUCGUGAGUCCUGCAUGCUCAUCCCGUAGACUUGCCAUUUGCGUCCUUAGCUUCGGAAGGUGGCCAUGUGACUCCUCACGUCGUGAGAUAUCCUUGCUCACGUCAUGAGUUUGGAUCUUAUCCCCUCGCAGCCUCGUCACACAUCUUCUAGAUUUCGAGAUAUGGAUAAAUGAAUUCUCACGUCGUGAGUCUUGUGCUCACGUCCUGAGUCUUGUGCUCACGUCGUGAGCUCAGUCAUAUUAGGGUUUCUGACAGCUGAAUCUUCGGAAGGUCAUAACUUUCACAUGCGAACUCCGUUUUUGACGUUCUUUAUAUGCAUGUGUAGGUAUUUACAAGUACUAAAACUCUCUUUUAGAUUUUAAUAGCUAAUUCUAAGUAUAUAUUAAAUUCCUCUUACUAUAGAGAUUUAUAGUGUUCGGUUUAUCAUAACUUCUUUUAUGCGAAGUCAGAUUCAGACAUUCUUUAUGUUUUUGGAAUCGUAUGGAUGUAUACUUGGAGUUGUAUCAUAAAGAAAGUUAAUAUUUGUAUUAGAAUUUAUCAUGAACUACAUAACACUCUUAUCACAAUACUACUUUAACAAAAUCAUAUUACACGAUUGGCAUAAUCACAUGCGAUUGUCUAUUGACCUAUUUCAACUAGUGUUACAAUGUGUAGGCUAUCACCUAUCCUCUCUGCAUUAGAAGCGCUCCCAGUCCUAUGAUGGAUGCAUCACAGAACACUACCAAAUCCUCGACUCCCUCCAAAAGAGUCAAUACUCGAGUAUACCAAGAUAUCAUCUAUGAAUACGAUAACUAAGCAAUCGAACAUCGGUUUGCAGACCCGAUUCAUCAGGUCCAUGAAUAAUGCUGGUGCAUUGGUCAGCCCAAAUGGCAUCACCACAAACUCGUAAUGUCCAUAACAAGUCUGGAACACGGUGUUCCCCACGUACUCCUCCCUAACCCUGACUUGAUGGUAACCGAACCACAUGUCUAUCUUGGAGAACCAAGAUGCGCCCUGCAAUUGAUCAAAUAAGUCAUCUAUCCUUGGGAGCGGAUAACAGUUCUUCAUCGUCAGCUUCCCCAACUCCCGGUAGUCGAUGCAUAUCCGGUGUGAACCCUCCUUCUUCUUGACGAAGAGUAUUGGUGCUCCCCAGGGGGAACUGCUCGGACGGAAGAACUGUUUGCCCAGCAGUUCCUGCAGCUGUGAUGACAGCUCCUGCAUAUCUGGUGGUGCCAGAUGGUACGACACCUUGGCGAUGGGAGCCGCACCUGGCACUAGGUCGAUCCUAAACUCGACCUGCUUCUCCGGAGGCACUCCGGGUAACUCCUUCGGGAAUACGUCAGCAAACUCCCUGACCGUUGGAACCUCUGAUACUGAAAUCUGAUGUCUGAUCCGUGUAUCCAACACAUAUGCUAGAUAACCCACACACCCGUGCUGAAUAUACUGUCGAGCCCUGGCAGAUGAACAAAACCCUGAUUCCAGCCUGGUACCCUCACCAUAGACAAUCAGUUCUCCCCCACUUGGGGUUCAAACCACCACUCGCUAACCCUGGCAGUCGAUCAUGGCAUCGAAACGAAUAAGCCAGUCCAUACCCACAAUCUCACACACAUCCCCCAUGGGAAUCAGAAUCAAGUCGAUCGGGAAGGACACCCUGAAGAUCUCUAACUCACAUCCCUGAUAGACUAAAGAAGCAGAAACUCUGUGUUCUUUGGAGAUAGAGACUCGCAACGGACACUCUAGCUCUCCUACUGGAACUCUAAACUCCCCACUAAACACCUGAGAUACAAACGACCGACUCACCCCAUGGUAAAAUAAAACCAAUGCAGGCAAGGAGUUCACUAAAAACGUACCUAAUCACAGGUACAACAAAUAAGCAUAAAAUAGAUAUAUUUAAUAAGAUAAGGGAUAGAAACAUACCAGCAACCAUAUCCAGUGCUAAUCUGGCCUCCUUGGUUGUUAGCUGGAAGGCACGUCCCUAAGCCCUCGGGCGCUCUACUCUACCCUGCCUCUCAUCGGUAAUCCUCAGUGUAGCCAGAGCUGGAGCCUACAUCGGUCUGGAAAGGAGCUGCGGACAAUUGGUCUUCACAUGACCAACCUGAUGACAGUGGUAGCAGAUCCUCAUAUUCUGAACCGAGGUCGUCUAGCGACAAUCUCACGCGAAAUGCCCCUCUUGGCCACAUUUUCGGCAUCCACUACCCGAUCUACAAACCCUUGAAUAACCUUUCCCGCACUUGCCACAAGUACGGCCAUGCUUCCCCUGCUCUAGAAUCAGCGGUCUUAGACCGCUUCGGCGCCGACNGACUGUGUCGGGGCCCGCCGCUGCUCCCUCAACUGCAUCUCAAUCUUCAAUUCAUGCCGCCUAGCGGCCUCCUAUAACUCUAGCAAGGUAUCACAUCGUUGAGUAGCAACAAUCUAACAGAUGUCAGUCUUGAGCAUGCUUAAAUAAUGUGUCAUCUAAGCCUACUCAGAGGCAAACUCCGGGAAAAACAUCACCCUCUUCGUGAACAUGCGGGGGAUCUCCGUCACCGUCUCACUGUCUUGUCUCAACUUAAGAAACUCCUGAGCUAGCCGUUCCCGCUCGACCCGUGGAAUGUAGUGAGAGAGGAACAUAUCCUGGAACUGCUCUCAAGUAACUGCAUCACUCUGAUCAUCCGAACAAACCCCAGUCAUCAACCUCCACCAGUCCUUUUCCCCUGAGCUUAAUAGGUUUAGGACACAUCUAACCUUCUGGUCAGUAGGACAUGAACACGUGAAGAAACACCCCUCCAUGUCAGAUAGCCACCUCAUAGAUUUUAUGGGGUCCUGAGUCCCAUCAAAAGUAUAGGGCUUCGUGUUAUCGAAGUCCCGAUACUAGAAAGCCCNUUACAGCCGUUGUGGCUGUUGCGGCAGCCACCUCAGUGAGGGCUGCAUAGCACUCAUCGAAACACUCCACCAUGGCGGUCUUGAUAGACCCGAACAUCUUCGAUAAAUGAGCCCAGAACUGUGCAGCCACCUCAUCCUGUAGGAUCUCCCAGAUCCUGGCGUCUAUCUCGUCUGGCCUCAUCUAACCGAUAGUCUUAGGCACUGGGGGUGCCUCCUGUCUGCCCUCUCCUGAUCCUGACCUGGAUCCAGUCACAAAUCUUCGAGUAACCACCAUGCUGAAAAACACACCAAGAAAAUGUCAGAUAUUCCAUAUAAUAUUUCGGGAACCAACUCCCAACCAAAACCUUAGGGGCUGUGACUUCCUUGCAACGUGUAUGGGUCCUGUGCUUUCUGUAGUAUGGGCUCAUACUACCUUCCACACCUACCCAUAUUUGUCUCAAGUAUCAUCACAACGCCCUAGGACUAUACAUAAGCAUGGCAUGUGCUCAGUCCACACUCCUAGAGGAAGGCUAAAUAUCUCAUGUUAGGCGGACUCAUCCCAAACAACCCAUACAUCCAUGAAACAUCCACCAACCCUGCAUCACUUGUGUAUGCUAGCCAUACAUAACGCUGGACCCUACAGACUUUCGAAUACCUAAUCCUACCCUAAGCCCUUCAUGAAACAAGAACAGGAAAUAAGGCCAAACCAAACAUUCUCAGGCUAUAAGAUCUUAAUUAUGUACAGCCGUAAUGCAUACACUAAGUAACUACAGUACUGAUGUCAAUUUCAUAAAGGAAAACCCUAGGCUACCAGGCAUCAUAUAAUCAGCCAAUUCUAUCGUGCAAUUCCUGAAGAUCCCUAGCCUAGUACUAGCAGGUUGUACAAACAUAUCACAUAAAUCAAAUAAUCCAUAAGGUAUUUUGGGGUCUAUCUACGAGCUCUGGCUGAUCGGACACUUACAUCCUCCUUUAUUAUUUUGAAAACAUUAUAAGAAAAUCAUUUUAUAAUAAUGUCCUCAGUUUGAGACUGGAGACAUGCGAGUGUUUCCUCCAAUUCACUCAAACUAAGGCUCUAAUACCAUCUUGUAACAUCCAUAAAAAUCAUGCUAAAUUUAAACUUUUUAAAACAUUUUCAAAACCAAGAUUAUUACAAAACAUGUUUCCAAAAUAAUAUAAUGCCAGAGUAUCCCAUAAUCAAAUCAUAAAAACAUGAAAUAUGAGGAGCUGUACGAUCACACCUUCGCCUUCCCGCGAUCAUCAAAAUUACCUGAAACAAUAAUCGAUAAAUGUAAGCUCGAAUUCUUAGUGAGUUACCCUCAAAAUACCAAUUCCAUACAGAUAUAGCCAUUUCAUGUAAACAUAUAAGCAAACAACAUGCAUAAAGAGCCAUCAGACUAUUCUAGACAUUCCACUAGAACACUGGCAGGCUCGUAACGUGUAGGUACCGAACUACAUGUUCAUGUGAUGUACUCUAUUCAUCCCAAUGGUUGCCUUAUUGACAUAUAUUGUUGAGAAAUCUCUGAAGCAGUACUAUAUAUCCAUUGCUUGCGAUGAUCCUUAGGACCGGUCCCUAGAGAUGAAUAUAUGAGAAAACAGGAAUGUGUAAUCGGGUUAUUUAUUUGAUGCGAAAUAUACAAUUAAAACAAAUUAAUUAUAAUAUUGUGGGUUGAAAACCCUAUAUACUCACUAGGAUUCUCAAUCCUGACCCACUCAGUGUCUUUUUUUCACAGGUAAUGGUACGAAGGUUCAAGAAUAUGGAUGUUAAAAUCUGCCGAGAACUUUAAGGAGUUCUUAGGCCAUUAAAUAUAUUGAUGUAAGGCCUGUAAGACUUGUUUUGUUUAUGUUUUUGUAUAAGUUAUGGCAUCCCAAACUUUCAAAUAUUAAUGAUAACCAUUCCUUCGGAGAAGAGUUGAUAUUGAUUUCAUUUCACAUUAAUAAUGUUUUGGGACAAAUUCCGUACUAAUAAAAGAAUGCUCUAUUUUUAAAUAAACAUAAAGAAAGAGUUAUUUCCGGGCCAUGAAAAUGGGGAUGUCACAUAUACCAAGGGAUUGCUUUUAUCAACAUAUUUUUUGCACACAUAAAAGUUAGAAUUAUCAUCAGAAACCAUUUAGGUAAAAAGAAAGAAAGAGUUGGAAUGAAAUUUGAGAGAGCGUAGAAGAUUGUUGUGGUUUUUGAAAUUGUUGAGAGUGGUUUAUAUAGGUAACAAAAUAGAAAAAAAUAACUAGUCGUUCAAUAUCUAGUAGAGAGUUGAGAUAGACGAUGAACUUGGCCAUCUUUCGUCUUUUUGAACAUGCAACUCGAUGGAAUGGCAGUACUCUUUGUGUCGUCCCCAUAAGUCAAAAUCGUAUGCACGAUGUUUUGAACCCUAAUACCAUCAAAUAUGGUACAAUAUUUCCACUCCAAAAAUUGUUGUCACCUCAACACUACAUCUCCGCUCCCACACCAAACCUAAGAAAUACUCACCACUCAUUAUCACCUACAUCAUUUAAUUAUUUAUUAUUUAAAUAUAAAAUUUAUAUAAAAAAUAUUACAUCCCCAAAAUUAGAUAAAAAUUUCAUUAAAAAAAUAAAAUUUAAAUUUGCAGAAGAAAUUAAAAACUAUAUAAAACUUAAAUAAAAACGAUCUUAAUAAAACAAAUUACAUAUUGUUAUAUUGUCGGGGAUUUUCCGUUUGAAUGUUAAAAAAGUUUGGAAGCCUUCGGACGAAAGAUUCUGCGAGGUUUCAUUUUCAAAAUUUUCAUAUCAGAAAGCAUUUUUUGUUCUCAUCUCGAUUCACUUUUAAUAUGGAUUUUUUUUUAAACAAUUGAACAUGUUUAUCGAUAUUUUCCAAAAGUGUUUGCACAAUGUUCCCUUCGGAAACGUCUUUCCCCGACCCUAGUGCUGCCCGUUUUCCUUUAUCCUUUCGAAUAGGUCACCGAAGGGAUACUUCUAGUGGAUGAUUGUCGAGGUCAUCGUUUGGGCCCGAUUCUUGAACCGGUUUUUGACAUAUAUGUGUAGUUAUUUAACUUUGAUGUUUUCAACAUUCUGUUGUUGCCGGUGAAUUGCAAAAGCACUUUCAUAUUAUUGAGGCAAGUGAAUUAAAAUUCGAUGUGUUUUGGAUGAUUAAAGUGUUUGAGUUUUGCUUCAUGGUCUGGUGUAAAUUUAUAAAUGUACUACACCUAAUGAAUCAUAUACAAGUUUUAGUCAAUAUGUACAAAGAAAAAAGAAGAGAGAAAAACCCACAUCGUACUAACCAUGAUGACAUUGAGUUUUAUGAGCUAUGUCCCCCCCCCCCUGCACCACCGUUCCUCCUUAGAUUAUAGAUUAGACUGUAGAUAGUAUAUACCAUGCUCCCUAACAAAUAUGAGGUGAAAGUGUAACACCCGAUUCAAGGUAUUUCACAUCUUGGAACCUUGGUGUGUAAUUAGUUUGCAAUUUUGGUUCUUACGGGCAUUAUUAUAGUUUUUGGGAGGAGAGUGUGUACGCUAGGCGUACCUCAUGUACAUUGGGCAUACGUAAUAACGGGAGAAACCCUAAUUUUAGGGUUUGGACCCUAUUUAAUAAACCUUAUGUCUUAAGGUUCUCUCAUUUCCUAACCUCCAUUGCCCUUUUGAGCCUCAUUUUCAAACCCAAGCUCAUCUAGAGAGAUUUGACCCCUUUGUGUGUUUUAAUGGGUUUUUGGUGAACCUUAAAGAAGAAGAAGCUUGGAGAAGGAGAAUUAAUCAAGGAGGAGCUUGUAGAUCCAGACUUCACUCAUCAUUUUCAGCUCCAUAAAGGUAUAAAGCUUGGAAUUUGCUCAUUCUUUACUUAGAUCUUGUUGUUGUGGAUUUUUGGACACUUUUUAGUCCCAUGAAUGAGAUCUAGUGGGGUUCUUUCACUCCAGAAGCUAGGAGUUGCUCCUCUUGAUGUUUCACUCUAGAAGUAUAUGUCCAUUUGAUGAAAGUAGGAUGCUAAGUCUAAUGUUUGGGUCCAUUUAAACCAUGCAAAGGCACCAAGUUAGUGACUUUAUGAAUUAAGAUGUUCCCCAAGGCUUGAAUUUGAAAUUUGGAGAUUUGGUCUUAAGCAAUCAGGACUUAAUUGAUGAAGUGGUUAAAGGAGGAGUACGUCGGGCGUACGAAUGCAAACGUUGCGCAUACGCGUCUAGAUCCCUGACUUUGUGUAGUGACCUUGUACGUUGGGUGUACUAGGGAAACGCUUAGCGUAUGGGACCUGGUCAUGGACUUUGAUGUUGGGCCGCCUUUGGAAUUUCGAGUUUUGGUCCCUUGUUGGGCCACAAGUCUUUCUACUUAUGGGCCACUGUUAGGGCUUGGGCCUUCUUGGAUUUGGGGCCAUUUUGGGCUUUGAGUGUCCUUUAUUAAUUGGGCCAUUAUUUGGACUUUUGUUCCAUUGAGUUUGGGCCUCGACUUUUGGGCCAGUUGAGGGCAGGGUAAUUAUUUGAUUAGUUAGUGUUCGAAUUCUCCUGUUCAACAACCUGAGUGCAUCUAUUUAUUUGACAACAGACUGCGGUGAGUUUCCACACUAUACUCUAGGAAACUAGGGGUUGUAUGUGCAUGUAGUCUUUGUGACUCCUAUAGUAUGUCAUGUAUGUAUGUGUACCUGAUUGCUAUAUUUAUGUGGGGUGGAAUAGACCCGAGGGUGAAAUAGACUCGAUACAGCCUCAUGCUGACAUAUAAAUUAAAAUAGACUUGGGGGUUAAAUAGACCCGGGGUGAAAUAGACCCGAUAUAGCCUUAUGUUGGAAUAUGAUUUAAAAUAAACACGGGGGUGAAAUAGACCCGACACAACCUUGAGCUGGCAUAUAUGUAUGGUACGUGGUAUUUUCGGGAACUCACUAAGCUUUGUGCUUACGAUUUUCAGUUUAUGUUUUAGGUACUUGCGGAUCAAAAGGGAAGAGCUUGGGAUGAUUGUACUGCACACACCAUAUUUUUCCUACUUAUUGACUCUGAUGUACUUUUGGGAUGUUAUUUGACAUACCCUAAAUACUUUAUUGUUUUGACAAACAUUUUAGUUGAUGGUUUAUUCAAUAGAAAAACAAAAAAUUUUGGUUCUGAGUUUUGGGACGUUACAAGUUGGUAUUAGAGAUUUGGUUUGAAGGAUUCGGGAAUUCUCUCAGGUGUGUCUGAACUCAAACUGAGGAUUUGGUAGAUUUUCAUUAAAAGAAAUGUUUUAUAAAAGAAAUUUUUAAUAAAAGAAAAGGGUGUCGUGCAUGCAAUCAGCCGAGCUCAAGUAAGUUUUCCUAAAAUACCCAUACAUGUUUAGUGAUAUGAUUUGAAAUGAGAAUCUGUGAAUCAUAUGCUAGAUUAGGGCUAAGGAUCUACUCAGGAUUGCAUGAUAGAAUUCUAGGAGAGAUGCCUUUAUAUGGCUACUGUAUGAUCUUGUAGACUUAUAUGCUAGUACUAAUCAGUCUGUGAUAGGAUAGCAUGUUUAGGUUAUGCUUUGAUUCCGAUUACUCAAUGCUUAAAUGAUGCUUGCUUUGUACUUUUAGGAGUUACCAUUAAUAUCAACUAACAAGUAAGUGAAGAUGCUAUGUUACAUAUUAUUGAGAUUAGAUAAUUUUAUAAGGCUAGGUUUAACCCUAUUGUGCAACUCUUGUUUGACUCCAAUCAUUGUAUGGUGAGACCCUUCAUUCGAAUAAUUAUCUAGUGUCGGUAAUAUGUAAUUGUGUUCGUAAGCUAGUUAGAGGGUGUUAUAGGGAGUUAUUUAUGCAGCUGAUGGCGGGGAGUGGUGUGGUGGUAGCCCUAGGAAAACCUAGGAUAUGAUUCAGUGUCGAGAGCUUUACUUUGCUAGAGGUCGUUUGGAUUGAUAGGGAAGUAACUUGGGGAAUUUGGAGCGAUUCAUGAGGAAAGUAAGGAUAAAUGUGGAAGGUAGUAUGGGCCCAUACUAUUAGAAGCAUAGGAUCAGUACUCGAGUCAAGGAAAGUCACGAUGAUACCAAGAAGAUUGUUGAAUGUGGGAUUCUUCGAAUAUAUUAUGAUGGUUUAUAUGGUUUAUUUUCAGUAUCGUCGUCACUUGAGGAGGUUCUGAUAGUGGUUAUAGUACCGAUGAUGGUUCAGGUUCUGGCGCUUUUCGUUCUGAGAUUGUGGCGAUGAUGGGAGCCCACUAUUUGACUUUUCGAGAGUUUCGGGAAAGUGGGGCACCAAAGUGCUUCGGGAAGAAGGACCCGAUUGCAAGCAAGCAUUGGUUAGUGGAUGUCAUGAACACAUUUCGUACUAGUUAUUGCCCCAAGGGGGAAAAAGGUCAUACUUGCAUCCUAUCUUCUGAAAGAUAGAGCUCGAGAUUAGUGGGAAGAGGUUGGACAUGCCUUGGGAGGUGAGGCGAUUCAGUCGAUGACUUGGGAGGAUUUCGUGAGGAGGUUUUGAGCUGAAUUUACACUUGUGAUUGAGGUCCAACAGUUGGCGAGUGAGUUUUAGGACCUUCACCAGAAUACUGAGACGGUGUCGGAGAUCACCGCUAUGUUCUAUGAGAGGGAAUUAUUGGAUCCGCAGUACAUGGCAGACAAGCAGAUGAAGAAGGCAAGAUACCAUGAUAUGUUGAGGAGCAAUAUUAGGCGGUUUGUGAGCAGAUCCAAUUGUAAGACACUAGAUGAUAUGGUGGCACGAGCCAGAGAGGGAUAUUGAUUUGGAAAUGGAGAAGAAGAGGAUGUAAUAUUAGGUUCAGGGUUCUGAGGGUUCAGGCAAGAAGCCCAAGGUUUUUGAUUCGAGAUCGAUAGGCCAACAGGGUCGGGGCCACUUUGGCAAGUCCGGCAAGACGCACGAGGGAGCUUGCAGGGGGGUGGAUCAGACUAUUAUAAGUGUGGCAAGACUGGGCACUUUAGCCGGGAUUACACAACCACCAGCUAGGGAUCGAGUCUGAUUUGCUUUCAUUGUAAUUAGAGGGGACACAAAAGGCUGAUUGUCCGCGUUUAGCAGCGGCAGGACUAGCUGUAGCACCCAAUCUAGGGACCUUAAAGAUUACAGAUGGUCGUCAGGGCAAGGCAGAGAUGUAUGUUGUAAGGAGCAGGGCAUUCCAGCUGACAGCUGAGGAGGCUCGCGUAGCACUUGAUGUGGUGACGGGUAUGUUUCUUCUCCUUACCUAUUUAUUUAUAUUGAUUUUCAUUGCUUAUAUAUGUGUUUUGCUUUUAGUGUCAUUCCUUAUGAAUGAUAUCUUUGCUUUGGUUAUAUUUGAUUUGGGGGUCACCCUAUCCUCUGUAGCUCUUGCGCUCAACAAGAGAUUUGCUGAUGCUCUAGUGGAGCUGAAGUAUCCAUUAGAGGUUGAAAUUGCUGAUAAUCGACUUGUGCGAGUAUCAAGGGUUCAUCGGGGUUGUGUACUCGAGUUGUUUAGUGAGCAUUACCCAAUUGAUUUGGUUCCCAUUCCUUUGCGUGAGAGUAAGGUUAUUGUAGGGAUGUAUUGGUCGAGCCCCAAUGGGAAAUGAUUGAUUGCGAGCAUCAUUUGGUGCGUAUCCAGACCUAAAGUGGGGGAGAGUUAGUGAUUCAGGGAGUGGGUGUUCAGCGUGGGUCGUCUCUUUGUUCAGCAGCCAGAGCCAGACGCUAUCUUCAGCAGGGUUGUUUCGGAUUUAUGGCUUAUGUGAUGGAUACCCAAGAUAAGGGUAAGGCAAUGAUAGGUGAUGUACCGAUUGUUUGGGAAUACCCGGAUGUGUUCCUGGAGGAUUUUCCUAGAGUGCCUACGGAGAGGCGGGUAUAGUUUCAGAUUGAUUUGGUUCAAGGUGUGACUUUGAUAGCCAAAUCACCUUAUCGGUUAGCAUCCACAGAGAUACAAGAGUUAUCUACACAACUGCAGGAGCUAUUAGAAAACGGAUUCAUUCGGUCUAGUAGUUCACCAUGGGGAGCACCAAUAUUGUUUUUGAAGAAGAAAGAUGGGUCGCAUCGAAUGUGUAUCGACUAUCGAGAGCUGAAUAAGCUAACGGUGAAUUUGAUCAGCUCCAGGGUGUAUCUUUGUUUUCCAAGAUUGAUAUAUGUUUGGGUUAUCAUCAGAAGAGGGUUAAAGAGGAGGAUACGCAGAAGAGCGUCUGAGGGAGGUAUUGGAGACUCUGAAGAGGGAGAAAUUAUAUGUGAAGUUCUCCAAGUGUGAGUUCUGGUUGCACGAGGUGCAUUUUUUGGGGCACCUUGUCAACCAUAAUCAUAUUCUGGUCGACCCGGCCAAGGUCAAAGCAAUGAUGAGGUGGGAAGCUACGAGGUCUCCAUCUGAGAUUCGGAGUUUCCUUGGAUUGGCAAGUUAAUAUCAGAGAUUCAUUUAGGAUUUCUCAAAGAUAACGAUUCUUUUGACCUAGUUGACGAAGAAGAUCGUCACGUUUUGUUGGGGGCCUAAGAAACAAGCAGCUUUUGAGACUCUAAGAGGAAGAUUGUGUGAGGCAUCGAUUCUAAUCCUGCCAGAGGGUGUUGAGGAUUUUGUGGUGUACUGAUCAAUCAUGGGUUUGGGUGCAGUGUUGAUGCAACGGGGUCAUGUGAUUGCUUACGCUUCAAGGCUGCUAAAGCCUCAAGAGGCGAAUUACCUCUAUGGGGUUGUGGUGUUCUCCCAUAAGAUUUGGCGACAUUACCUCUAUGGGGUCGGUUGUACUGUCUACAAGGUUCAUACGCGUCUUAGGUAUCUGAUGGAUCAUCCAAAUUUAAAUAUGAGGCAGCGUAGAUGGUUGGAUGUGGUGAAGGAUUGUGAUUGUGAGAUCUUUUAUCACCCAAGAAGGCCAACGUGGUGGCCAAUGCUCUCAGCCGCAAGGCAGUUGUUGCCCCGACCAGGGAUGUGUGUUUGAGGAUGACCGUAAUUACCCCACUCUUAGAGUAGAUUUGAGAGGUUCAUGUUGAGGCUAUGAAGGAAGAGCACCGGAAGAGCGAGUGCAUAGCGGGUCAGGUGGCUUCCUUCGAUUAUGAUAUCCGAGGAUUAUUAACCCUUCAACGAAGGGUGUAGGUUCCAUAUCGGGGUGGUGCGCAUCAAGUUUUGAUGGAGGACGCGCACAAGUAGAGAUGUUCUAUUCAUACCGAAGUGAGAAAUAUGUAUAGAGAUCUUUAGUCUGAUUAUUGGUGGCCAUGUAUGAAGAGAGACGUAGAAUGGUAUGUGGAGAGGUGCUUGACUUACAGGAAAGUCAAGGCUAAGCAUCAGCGACCCCAUGACAAAAUGAAGUCGUUGGAAGUCCCCAUUUGGAAAUAGGAAGAGAUUACGAUGGAUUUUAUCACCAAAUUUCCUAGGAUGGCAUGCGAAGAGGAUUCAAUAUGGGUCAUCGUGGAUCGAUUGACCAAGAGUGUGCAUUUCAUUCCAAUCCAGGAUAGAAUGUCAAGAAGAAACUGGCUGAUAUCUACAUUCGGGAAGUGGUAGCAUGGCAUGGGGUACCGGUUUUGUGGUCUCUGAUAGGGAUGUUUGGUUUGCUUCCGGGUUCUAGAAGAGAUUCCAUGAGGAGUUAGGUACUCGUUUGCACUUCAACACGACUUUCCAUCCGCAUACAGAUGGUCAGAGUAAGCAGACUAUACAGACAUUGGAAGACAUGCUGCGAGCAUGCGUAUUGUAUUUUGGCGGUAGUUGGGAUACGUUUCUUCUUUUGGCGGAAUUUUCGUAUAACAACAGUUAUCAUGCCAGCAUUGAUCGACCUUCUUUUGAGAUGCUCUACGAGAGGAAGUGUAGGACCCCGAUAUGUUGGGGUGAGGUCGGUCAACGGGUCAUGGGGAUUAUAGAGGUAGCACUCAAGAUGAUAGAAUCGAUUCAGCAGGUUCGUGACAGACUACAGACAACACAAAGCCGACAGAAGAGUUACACAAAUAAACAAUGGUCAGACUUGGAGUUCCAGGUUGGGGACAUGGUGCUCCUGAAGGUGUCACCUUGGAAAGGUGUCAUCAGAUUCAGGAAGCGAGGCAAGAUAGGCCCCAAGUAUAUUGGUCCUUUCAAGCUAUUAGCCUGGGUGGGCUGGGUUGAGUAUCAUUUGGAUAUUCCAUCGGAGCUCAGUCAGAUCCAUACAACUUUUCCAUUCUCUCAGCUACAGAAAUGUUUCAUUGAUGAUUCCGCAGUGGUUUCCAUUGGAGACAUUCUGGUGUACGACCACCUGAAUUGUAUAGAGAUACUAAUGGCGAUCCCUGACAGGAGGACGAAGACUCUGCAAAACAAGGUGUUAGAUCUUAUGAAGGUGUAGUGGCAGCACUGAAAGAGUUCAGGGUGGACGUGGGAGCCUGAUGACGAGAUGAAGGAGCAUUAUCCAGAGUUACUUGCGGCAGCGGACUUCGAGGACAAAUUCUAAUUCAAGUGGGGGAGAAUUGUAACACCCGAUUCAAGGUAUUUUUCAUCUUGGACCCUUGUUGUGUCAUUAGUUUGCAAUUUUGGUCCUUAGGUGCAUUAUUGUAAUUUUUGGGAGGAGAGUGCGUACGUUGGGCGUACUUCCUGUAUGUUGGGCGUACGUAAUCAAGGGAAAACACUAAUUUUAGGGUUUGGACCCUAUUUAAGCAACCUUAUGUCCCAAGGUUCUCUCAUUUCCUAGCCUCCAUUUCCAUUUUGAGCCUCAUUUCGAAACCCUAGCUCAUCUAGAGAGAUUUGACCCUUUUAUGUGUGUUUUAGUGCGUGUUUGACUGUUUCGUGAACCUUGAAGAAGAAGAAGAUUGGAGAAGGAGCAUUAAUCAAGAAGGAGCUUGUAGAUCUAGAUUUCACUCAUCAUUUUCAUCUCCAUAAAGGUAAAAAGCUUGGAUCUUGCUCUUUCUAUGCUUAAAUCUAGUUUUUGUGGAGUUUUGGACACAUUUUGGUCCUAUGAAUGAGAUCUAGUGGGAUUCUUCCACUUCAGCAGUUAGGAGUUGCUCCUUUUGAUGUUUUUGAGAUCCCUAGUCCAUAAAGUUAGCAUCUUGAUGGUUGAGGAUCACCAAGUAUGAGUAUAUUUCCAUUUAGUGAAAGUAGGAUGUUAAUGUUUGGGUCCAUUUAAGCCAUGCAAAGGCAUCAAGUUAGUGACUUUAUUAAUUAAGACGUUCCCCAAGGCAUGGAUUUGAAAUUUGGACAUUCGGUGUUAAGAAAAAAGGACUUAAUGGAUGAAGUGGCUGAAGGGGCGUACGGCGGGCUUACUAGGGGAACGCGUAGCAUAUGCGACCUGGUCAUGGGGUUUGAUGUUGGGCCGCCUUUGGACUUUCGGGUUUUGGAUCCUUGUUCGGGCACACGACUUUCUAAUUAUGAACUAUUGUCAGGGCUUGGGCCUUCUUGGAUUUGGGCCUAUAUUUGGCUUUGAGUGUCCUUUAUAAAUUGGGCUAUUAUUUGGGCUUUUGUGCUAUUGAGUUUGGGCCUUGACUUUUUGGCCAAUUGAGGGAAGGGUAAAAUGGUCUUUUAGCCUGGGGAUCGGGAUUAGUUGUUUAAAGUCCCGAUUAUGAUUUAUGACCCAAUUAUUAAUUAGGGAUUUAUUCGAUUGGUUAGUGUGGGGAUUCUCCGAUUCAGUAGUCGAACAACUAUUUGACUGACAACAGACUGAUGUGAGUUUGGUUACUAUACUCUAUUAAUUAAGACGUUCCCCAAGGCAUGGAUUUGAAAUUUGGACAUUCGGUGUUAAGAAAAAAGGACUUAAUGGAUGAAGUGGCUGAAGGGGCGUACGGCGGGCUUACUAGGGGAACGCGUAGCAUAUGCGACCUGGUCAUGGGGUUUGAUGUUGGGCCGCCUUUGGACUUUCGGGUUUUGGAUCCUUGUUCGGGCACACGACUUUCUAAUUAUGAACUAUUGUCAGGGCUUGGGCCUUCUUGGAUUUGGGCCUAUAUUUGGCUUUGAGUGUCCUUUAUAAAUUGGGCUAUUAUUUGGGCUUUUGUGCUAUUGAGUUUGGGCCUUGACUUUUUGGCCAAUUGAGGGAAGGGUAAAAUGGUCUUUUAGCCUGGGGAUCGGGAUUAGUUGUUUAAAGUCCCGAUUAUGAUUUAUGACCCAAUUAUUAAUUAGGGAUUUAUUCGAUUGGUUAGUGUGGGGAUUCUCCGAUUCAGUAGUCGAACAACUAUUUGACUGACAACAGACUGAUGUGAGUUUGGUUACUAUACUCUAGGACAUUAGGGAUUGUAUGUGCUUGUAAUCUUUGUGACUCCUGCUAUAUGUGUGGUAUGUAUGUGUGCCUUAUUGCUAUNUAUAUAUAUAUAUAUAUGGUAUGUACUAUUUUGGGAAUUCACCAAGAUAUAUGCUUACGGUUUUCAGUUUCUGUUUCAGAUACUUCAGAAUCAAAAGGGAAGAGCUCAGGAUGAUCGUACUGCACACACCAUGAUUUUCCCACUAAUUGACUCGGGUAUACUUUUGGGAUGUUAUUUGACAUAUCCUUAAUACUUUAUGGUUUUGACAAACAUGUUUGAUUGAUGGUUUAUUUAAUAUAAAAACGAAAAUUUUUGGUUUUGAGUUUUCAGACAUUACACAAAGUCAGUCUGUUGAUUUUGAAAGCCAUAUGCAAAUAGUACAAAAAUGAUCCCUAAAAUUUUGGAUUAGCGACAUAUUAAUGAUAAAUAGCAUUAGAAUAGCAAAAUAUUAGUGAUGAAUCAAAAUUUUGGUCCCUUUCUUGACAUAGGAAUUGUAUCAUCAUACAUCCGACACAUCUUUAAAAUCGACCUGAUGAAGAUACAUCGAUGACCCAGUUGAUCAUAAUCAACAUUUUUUAAUAUAUUUCUAGUUUUUUUCUUUUUUUUCAAUUACAAUGUUUAACAGGUGGUUUUUUAUAUUUAAACUUUAUUAUAUUCAAGUCACAAUCAUUCGAACAAUUGCCAAUUUAAGUGUAUGGUCGUUUGGCAUCAUAAACAUGUAGACUGUGACUUUUUAGACUACAAACGAUAUUAGAAAUUAGACAGUGCUAUAGGAUUCACAUACUUAUAUUUAUCCCGUUUAAUACUUUAAUAUGUGAAUAUUCACCUUUUAUUAAUUAUCUUCUUUUGACAAAUGAUUAAUCAAUUCUUUGCAUAUGGUUACCAAAAUCAACUUUCGUGAAGAAUAUUCUUUGUCAAUAACUAAGCAUGUAAAGGAAUAUUUUACAAGACUAUUUUUUUACAAUGAAUUGAUUAACAAUGUGUGAUUGCUUUUCAAACUCUUUAUUAUCUUUUUGGAAAAACCAUAAAUUUCUGGUUUUUUUUUAAAAAAAUCAUUUUUUUCACUAAAAGUUACUGUUUAUCAAACAUUUUUUAAUUUAAUGAAUUUUUAAAAAAUCAAUUCAAUCUAUUCUAAUAAAUGAAAGUUUUUUUGCCACGUGUCCUCUUCUCCUUCAUUUUGAUACAUAACAUUUUCUAAAAUUUUUAAAUUUUCUAUUUUUUACUUGUUUAUUUUAUUGUAUUUUUCAUUUUAUUAAAUUAAAAUUCCACAUUUAAUAUUUUAGGUAAUAUAUAUGUAAAAUAUUUAUUAGAAAUAGUUUAUAUAAGUAAUGUAUUCAAUACACUCAAGCUUUAUUAAUUUUAAUAAUUCAAAAGAUUUCUUAUUUUUCUUAUAAAUUCAAACUUUUCAAAUUGUUAAAAUUUUAUAUUUAAUUUUUUUUAAAUAAACCCAUAUAAUAUAUGGACUUAUACUUAAAAAUUUAAUAAGCUAUUUAAAAAUCCGUCACAAACACCCCCUAAAUAUUAUGUUAAAUAUUACUUGUUUCAUGUAAGGGACUACAUGUUCGAAUCUUUUGAUUAAAUCAUAGAGUUUUGAACGCCUAAUACUUAACAACAUACAGUCUAGUUAACAAGUUAAAAAAAAUUGACAUUUUUUAUAUAAUUUACUGAUCAAAAUAUCAAAAUAUUAACUUUAACUAACUAAAACAAAAAUAUUACUAAGUAUUAUUCGCAAUUUAUUUGAACUUGCCAUAGAAGUAGGGGAUGAUCAAACUGAAGGUAAGGUAUACAUACUUUACUCUCUAAAAUGCUUUUUUUUUUUCCAAAUCAAAGAUUCAAAGGGGAUGCUUUUGAUUCGGAUAAGAACAUAGAUUAAAUGGUAAUCGAAUUGUGAAGAUUAUAAAAUUUAUCCUGGAUUUCUUUUUUCGUUUUUAAAUAUUUUUUAAAUACAUAUUUCAGUUCUAAAAAAUGUAAUUUAAUAUGAACCAACCUAUUUGUAAGUUUCUUAUUUUGUCGUGGGUUUCUUUUUAUUUAAUUAAACAAUGGAUUUUAUCACUUGUAACUCAUUUGUUUAUGAGAAGUGCCCGUUUAUAAAGAGAUCGACAAAGAUGACCAUAAGGAAUGGAUAAUUUAAUUGAAAUGAUCAUUUUUAUUUUAAGAUGAUUUCUUUGGUUAUUACAUUUCGGGUUAAUUUAUGGUACAUUAAAUGUAUUUUUUAAUAAAAGAUAAUAUAUUUUAGAUUAUAACACAACUUAGACCAAGGGUGUGGGUGGUAAACUCCCAUCUUCUUUUUGUAGGCCACAAUACAUUUUCUUUCAUUUUGCUUUCCUUCACCUAAACCCAAGGAAUGGGUAGCAAUCUUCUUUCACUAUUUUUUUUAAGUAUAUAUUUUCUACAAUUAUUAUACUCAUUUUGUAGGGAAUUAAAAACCAUGAGUUUUGAUAUAUUAUUUAUAAUUUUUAGUAGAUAUAUAAUUUAAUAAGUAUUAAAAAAAAGUUAGCCAAUAGAAAUAGGAGAGAGAGUGCGGCAAUGAGCUCCCUCACCACCUUUCCCUCAGUCAUGGAGUGGUGUUCAGGUGAGAGGGAAAUCUUCCCGCACCCUUUCCCUCACCCACACCGUCCGGACUUACAAUACAAGUUCAAAAUACAAUGGACAAUUUCCAAAAAAAUGUUUAUUUUUUAAUUAGAUUUUUUUUUUUUCUGAAAUGGAAACUAACUAACAUACUCUCAAACAACCACCUAUGUCUCCACCAAGACUUGAACUCAUGAUCUCUCAUAUGAGAGAGUCACUUCUUACCGUUAGACCAUUGACCAUUUUGUAUUUUUUUUUUUAUAAGAAAUAAAAAAUAGAUACAAUAAUAUAAUGACUUCAAAUGUUAAAUAUGACUGUAAAUAGAAUAUUGCAUUAGACAUUUUAAAAUUAUCAUUUUAGACAUAAGUAUAAAGUAUUUUCUAUAAAAUAGAAAAAAAUACACAUAUUAUAUAUUUCUAGUUAGUCUAGACUGCUUCAUUCCAUACUCAUAGGUAAUUUCGGUAAAAUACAUAUAAAAAAUGUCAAAUAUAUAUAUAUAUAUNCACAGACAUAUAUAUAUAUAUAUAUAUAUAUAUAUAUAUAUAUAUAUAUUCUAAACAAAAAAAAGUUCAUUUUGUUAAUAUUUUUCUAUAAGUGGCUUAUUUAGCAAUUCGGGUUAUUUAAUCCAAGCCACAAAACCAAAAUUCUAUACGCAUGGCCACAACACUUUUUGGAAAUAUAAAAGUUUACAUGAUUCAUAAACAAACACUUUAUAUAAACCACGUCGACAAUAUACCCAAGGAUCAUACGUCACCAUUACAAAAGUAAAACACAAAACAUCCACAAAUUGAUAAAAAUGUUUAUCUUCCAUCCAUCUUAUUUUUUGCUUUUUAAAUACAAUGUGGUCAUCGAAAUUCCUAGGAAUGUAACUCUCUUUCGCACUUAAACCAUGUGUCGUCACUCUGUUGUUUGAAGGAUGUGGCCAAACAUGCACGCUAGGAAUGACACGCUGUCUCUGAUGGCCCACGAAUUUGAGGCUAUUCUGCUGUAGACAUGCACAAACCGGUUCGGUUUUGGUCAACUUAGUCAAAACCGGUUCACCCGGAAACUGGUUCGGUUCCAAACUGGUUCAGCCCCAAAAAAAUCCAAACAUAUGUAAACGGUUCAAAAAUUGUUUCGAUGCAUAUAAGGUUUUUAAAUUUUUUUUUUUUGUUUUUGGGCUAAUAAGUGUAAAAUAUGAAUGAGUUUUUUUUUUGUUUAGAUUAUAUUGCUUUAAAUUGUAUUUAACUAUAUAAAAAAAAAAUGGGCUUCACAUUAGGUUUUUUUGGGUGGAAUGAAUUGGGAAGGCAUAAGCCUUAUGGUAAUACACACAUAUUACAUAUACACGUCCAUAUAUAUGGCAAAAGAUUCUUUUUAUUAUUUUUUUCUUUUGUUUCUUGUUUAAUAAUAUACAUAUCUUUUGAUAUAUUAACCUUUUUUUUUUUGGUUUUAAAUUUGAUGUUUGUGUAUAUAUACAAAAACAUAAUGUAUGUACAAAAUUGUUCAACUUGAAUCAACAUAUUUUUUGGAGCAAUUUUCAACAUUUGUUUUUUAUUUUUUUGUUUUUUUAUAUUGGAAAUAUAUAAUACAACUUCAAACAUAAAAACACAAAACUUCCAAAUUGUCAAACUAAUACAUAUUCAAAUCUAAAACAUUGUUGUUGUCAUAGUCUUCAUUCCAAGUUCGUAGUCAUUGUAUUUAUUCGUCAUUCGCCAUGUCGUUGCGUAAUCCUCUCUCAUACUCGAUCUCUUCUAGGGUGAGUGGCACCGACAUUCCCAUCGCUACUUCUUCCUCAUGUACUCGUGCUUCGGCAUGCAAUGAUGUGUCUUCUAGUACUUCAAUGUCUUGUAUCUGUUCCACGCCAUCAAGGUAGCAUUUUAAGCAAAUGCACACUUCCACCAACGAAGGGGUUAGUUUUGUUCUUCUUGGUGAUAUUACCAUGCCACUAACAGAAAAAGCCGAUUCCGAAGCUACCGUAGAAGCUUGGGAGCUUAGUAGAUCACAGGCCAUAAUCGCUAGAAUCGGAAAUUAGGUUUCUUUUCCUUUCCACCAAGCCAAAAUAUCAUAAAUUUUAAACUCUUGAAUACUCAUUUGAGACAAGAAAUCGGAACCAAUGUACCUUCCAAGCUCGCUACUAGGGGUGUUAGACCGAGCUCGUUUGGAAUUUCCAUUCCUCAAAGUAUUAUAAAGUCUAAUUGUUUUGUUAUUUUGAUGAGAAGUAGAUCCGGAUGCCCCCGUAUUUUGCAUCAUGUCAUUAAUGUUUGUUGAACCAGAUUUUGUUAAAUAAACUUCAAACAAAUUUUGAAACACUUUGUUAAAUUUUGAAACUUCCUUUGAUGCAUAAUCCAUGUCAUCAUCCAAUAAACCAAAUCGUAACAAAUAUUUUCAAUUAAAGUCUCAACUCCCCCAACAUUUAUAUUGUUCGACAUUACACACAAAUCAUAGUUGCACCAAAUAGUCGGAUUUCUAUUUGUUUAUGUGAUGCUAAUAGCGGUAAGAUUGUUUGAUGAAUCUCCAACACCAACGGAAGUUGAAUCCAUUGUUUGAAUUAAGAGUGUUUUUUGAACUAAGAGAGGUUUUUUGAGGUUGGGUUAAGGUAAAGUUGAGAGCUAAACAUCUAAUACAUAUAUAUACUAUAAGGAAUGGUUAACAUGGUAAAAAAGGAGCCAAAAUCGGGUUUUCAACAGCCUCAAACAGCUAUAUAGCCGGUAGGAAAAGACAAAAAAAACAGUAACAUUCGAAAACCGGUUCACUAAAGGUAACCUUCGAAAACCGGUUCCAAACUGGUCUCAAGGGUACAAAGUGCGAAUUGGUCCAAUCCGGUGGUUCCGUUCACUAUCGAUUCGGUUCUUACGUGAACCAGUUUAGGGCUAAACCAGUUUUGGUUCGGCUACCGGUUCGGUUCCUGAACCGAUUUUUUUGCCCACGCCUAUGUCGUAACAACGGCCUCGAUAUUUACCUCUCUCUUUUGUCUACUUUUUAGGUUGCAAGGCAUGGGCCAGUUAAGGGGCGUUUUUUCCUAUGUGGAGGCACUUCAACGCCACCAACCUUGCACCUCAUUGGCUUCUCGCUGCUUCCCGUUGCCGGUGUAACACCGUUAAAGCCCGUUUUUCUUUAUUCCUUCUUCCGUUUUCUUCUUUUCUUCUUCCUCAACGUUGUUUCAAUAAAAUGGAAAACAUCUCCUUUAGAUGUUAUGGAGAGAACAUGACGAUGUGGCAGCGUUGUGUAUGGGGUUGGAAACUAAUUAUUCAAAGAUUUUGUGUUAAACCGUCUAAAUGGAAAGUAAGAUGUUGUUUGUUUUUUGUCUAUAGAUUUUCUUGGUCUCUUUUGUCUGCGCCGCACACACCAUGAGUAGACAUUAAUCUUCGCAAACUUUUUGUUUUUUUUUUGAAGACUAGAGACCUAAAAAUGUAUGUGUUUCCUCUUCUUGACGCAGAAAUAAACAAGAGUUUUCUAACAUCUUUAAACAUCUUCUAGCCUAAAAAAACAUAUACAUCUUUGUUUAUUAUUUUUUUUUUCAAACUUAGAUUUUUUCAAACUUUAUCUAUGAUAAACAAUUUGAAAAAAAAAUUAUAAUACUUAAAGAAAAAAUGUUCGACCACACGCAUGACCAUUGUAACAAAUUUAUAAAUAGACAUUUAAUUACAUUACUAGGUGUUGGAGCAUAAAUAUCAAAAAAAAAAUCUUAAUAUUGUUUUAUAUUUUUUGUGCCAAGUUUUAUAAAUAUUAUUUAAUAAAGUAUCAAUCAUUUAUUAGGAAAAAUAUUUAUGAUUAGUUUUUAAUUGAUUAAAUUAAAAAAAUAAAAUGAACCGUUUGAAAGUUCCAUUUUAAAAUUGAAGUUUAUCUACUUCUAUUUUAUAUGUCAAAUUAUUUGAUCCCUAAUUACAAUAUUUAGACAUAACUUAGUGACUAAAGCUUAUUGGGUUUUUUAUCGUUAAUUCAUACAAUUUUAUUUUCAAUUUUUAUACAACAAUACAUAAAAUUUGAUCUAGAUUUUUUAAUUAUCUAUAAUAAAGUCAUAAAAGUAUUGAAAAUCUCUUUUAAGUUUAAGAAAAAUGAGUUUAUUUAGAUUUUAGUAGAUUUUAGCAAUCUACAGACAUUACAAAGCAAACGGUCUUCUUCUUUCAGACUGUAGACAUUUAGUCCACCUCUUCUACUACAGAGGUCUACAAAUAUGGUGUGCAGACUGGCAUUUUGCCUCAGAAAAAACAAACAACACCUAAAAUGCUUUCCAUAAUGGUUCUCUCGAUGUUAUUGAGUUUGGUGCUUAGAUCCCUUGGUCACUAUUACAUGUUUAUUUCCUUGAUUCUUAUCACCAAAAAGAUGAAUUUUGGAAUCAUUCAGCUCAAAAAAUUUCUAGUACGAUGAAUAGCAUGAGAGAAAAAUGCGUCGGGUGAAAUAUGACUUGGUUAUUAUUUCCAACGAUAAAGAUUAUAUUGAGAAUAGAAGCUUGGAAGGUUUCAUGUGUGCUCUUUUUCAAAGAUGGAGACGGAGUUUGGUGAAUGAGAAAAAUGCUCUUAGGAGUAGGGUUGGAUGGUGCUAUUUCUCCACUUUAGUUUAGUAGGUGUGGUCGAGGAUUGCUAAGGCUACUAAAAAUGCAUGAUAAAGAUAUUAUUCCCAACACUUUGUGAAAAAAAACUGAGGAACGAUCAAGAAACAAUGUUUUGGAAAGAGGUAUGGUGUGGGGUUGUUCCUUUUCGAGAUUGUGUGGUUAGUGCUCGUUGGGAAUUACAAUAUAGGGGUGCAACACUAUAUAGGUUAUUUAUUGUUGUUGGAUGCUUUGCAUGCUACUAGAUGGAAAAAUUAGGUGCUUCAAAAGGUAAAGGUUUUUGUGUCGCUUGACUACCAACUAGAUGGAACAUUGAUAGAAAUGGGAUGGAUGUUACUGUUGGAUAAAGGUGUCUAAACUUAUAAUUAAAUUGAUAUAAACUUGCAAAUAGAAGCAAAAUCUUUUUUUAGGGUUUCCUCAUAACUAGAACUUUAUUAGAAUGGCAUUUGUAGAGAGAUGAUAAUUUAUUAGAUUAUUAUAUGAUUAAUAAACUAAUUGAAAAUUAUGAGAAAAUGAUUUGUUAAUAUAUUAUAUUAUUAAUAUAUUAAUUAGAAAUAGAUAGUUGAUUUGUUAAUUUAUUAUGUGAACAAUAAAUUAAUAUGAGAUCAAUUGUUAAAUAGUUGAUUUGUUAAUUUAUAUGAUAAGCACAAACACAUGAACAUUUAUUAGGUUGUUUAACAGAUUUUUGUGGCUUGAAUUUUUCAACAGUGGGAGUAUCAUUAUCACAAGUUUUUAAAUCAUUUUCAGCAGAACUAGAAUUAUUUUUGGUCUGCUCAUGCUCAUCUUGCACUGUGACCUUAUCUGCACAUGAGGUAGAAACAUUAGUAUCAUUCACACUAUCAUUAUUUACUGUCUCAACUACAGUACGUUUGCCAUACUGUAGGUGUGCUUCCUUUGCCUUUUCUUCCUCAGUCAUAGGAGUAAAAGUGUAGUUAUCAUUGAAUGGAGGAGAAACACUAUUAUACUCUAGACCUACAUUCUUUUUGUCUUGCCAUCUUAGUUGCUUUUGAAUCAUUGUAUCAACUUUCUUACUUGACACAUCAAAUUUUUUAAAAUUAAAAUCGACAUUUUCAAACUUAAUUCUCAAUGUGUCGAGCUCAACAGUUAGAUUGUAAAUCUUUUCUUGAGCAUAAUCAUAAUGUUCACAUUUAGUGUUGUAUUCUUCCUUAAUUCUUUUUAGAUCUUUGGUUUGGGCCUCUAAUUUUUCUUUUAAGGGUUUUUGGGCAUUUCUGAGAGUAUAUCAUUCAUAUUUAAGGUCCUCAAUUUUCCUAAUUAACAAGUCAUGUUGAUCGUGAUAAUGUUUAAUUUUAUUAGCACACACUUGCAUGGAUAACUCUGGUCAAUCACUAAUAUGAAAAUUCUGGUCAAUCACCAAUUAUUUUUGUUUCUAAAAUUUUUAUUUUUAUUUUGUUUUUAAUUUGCAUUCAUUCAUUUUUUUGUUUUAGUUUUAUUUUAUUUCCAUUUCUUUAAAUCUAAGAAACGAAUUAAAGAAAAUGAUUUGUUAAAUGGAUUGGGACCCACCGAAUUUGGUGGCCCAAAGGGUCGAGAACCCAUUUUGGGGGUUUAAUAGGGUUUUUGUUCUUCAACUUCAUUCAUCAUCACCGAAAUCAUCUUUUUUUUUUCUCUCAAAAACCUAAGCGAAAACUCUCCUUUUACCCAUUGUUCAUCUGUUCAUCUUCGGCUCAAAUCAUCAAAUUUCUUUUGAUUUUAACUUGGUAUACAGCUUACGAGUAACAUGCUUCAGUUUUUAUGCCUUUUCUUGGGAGUUUUUGCAGGUGUUCAAAAGUUUCCGGCGAGUUUGAUGGUGUUUUCCAGCGAAGUUAUCAAGGGUUUCAAAAUUUGAAUCGUCGGGUUUUCGGUUUGACCCGAAUCCGACCGAAAUUGAUCAAAUACAACCGAAAACAGCUUGUUUUGAUCGGAAACAUCCCCCUUUGACCGAAAUCUCAAGUUUGACCAACCGAAAUCACUUGGUUUUGACCGAGAUCACUCAAGUUUGAUCGAAAUCAAUAUCUUUUGACUGAAAUCAACAUUUUGACCAAAAUUUGAAUUUUUGAGAAAAUAAAAUUUUAGCUUUAAAUUUUUUAUUGUUCUUACUUGGCUCGUUUGGUGCAGAUAAAUGGUGGAUCAGUUGAAGUUUGUUGAUUCUCACAAUAUUGCAGGAUAUUUCUUGGAUCCACCUGUCGCGCAUAAUGAAUUCAAAUCCAUGAUCGUGGGUUUGAACAAUUGCAGUUUUUCCCACGCUCUAUGUGUCAAUCCAGUCAUACACAAGGACCUAAAUAACGAUUUAUGGAGGAAUGCAUCAUUCAACUGUGCAGGAGCGGAUGGUGCUGGUGUUAUUGAAUCCUAUGUGAAAGGCAAGCAGAAUAUUAUAGUAGAGCAAGUCAUUCGGGAAGUGCUUCAGUUCGGAGAUCUGGCUGCUUUCCCAACAGAACUCCCUGCUUCCAAGAUCACAUAAUUUUUAAAUAAAAUGAAUUACGAAGGAAUUUUCCCUCCAACAGUUAAGAAGCUACUUCCCGCUUACUGGAGAUUUUUGGCCCAUACUGUUGUUAGCUGCAUCUCUGGAAGAAAGGGCAGGUCGGACGAGAUAAGCCAAACAACAACAUCAACCUUUGUGGCACUAACAAUGGACUGGGAGUAUAAUUUUUCAAUUUUUUUUACAAAAUGAAGAGCAACCUUUCUUGGAAAAAGAAGGAUCUUUUCUUAACGUAUUCUCAGUUUUUACAAAUGAUCUUUGAUGCCUUGCAUCCCGAGCUGGAAAGGACCCCCGAUACUCUUGAUGUCAAAUCCCUGGGUCCAAACACCUUUGGACUCAUGAAACUAGUACAGAAAGCGUCAAAGGUUGUUUUCAAGGGAACAGAAGCACUGGUGAAAUUUGGAAAAUUCGCGGAGACAGAAGAUGAUGUUAUGAUGAUGAUGAUGAUGAUGAUGUGGAUUUUCGUAUGUUUGUACCAUCAAAGGAGUCGGUCAAUGAGGUUGUGAUUUCUCCAGCUGAGAGAGAGAAAGAAAUCAACAUUUUCAAGCAACCAAACGAUCCAACACCCGAACAGAUGGAAGCCCUUAUCGAACAGUUACAGUCAACUGCAAGGAAUCCUCCCCAAGCAGUUCAUGUUUCUAUUGAGUCUACAUCUAGGAGUGAUAAAGACGAUUCAAAUGCUUCCUUGAUGCCAAGAAAGUUAAGACGUACAGAUCCAAGGCCGAGAGUGCUUAUUACUAAACCAGUACAUCAGCCAACUUCAAAUGUUGAACUAGCCGAGGCUAAUCAAGAUCAUCAAAGCCCAAUUGUUGAACCAGCCCAGAUGAUCAAGAUGAUCAAAGCCGAAUGUUUGAUGAAGAAUUCGACUUCUUAGUUAAUGAGGAAACUUUAGCCUCGGGAAGCUCUUCUGCCCCACCACCUCCAGAGCACGAUCCUGCAUCUGCCAAGCUAGCCAAGCUACUUGCAUUUCAAGAUUCUAUUCCUCAGUCAAGAGGAAAGGGAAUAACUAUUGGAUCAGGGCACAGAGGUGAUGUAGACUCUCAAUAAACCAUUUCUGAGCUCAAACAAGAGAUCGUAAUUUUGAAGCAGGAGUCCAUUGAAAAAGACUUUCUGAUUGGCCAUUUGGAUGUUAGAGUUUCUGAGCUUGAAAAAGGAAAAUUCUCAAAAGAGUAAUCAGAUCUCAGAUCUUCAAGUCAGAUCUUAGAUCUUCAAGCCAUUCUUGGCGGGCUGACAACUUUCUAUUUUGAUCUCAAAGAAAAAUUAAUUAGAAAAUUUGGUGAUGCGUUCAAGACUUCUGGUUCUGAUGAUGGAAAAGCUUCAUAGUCAUCUGAAAGAGUUGUGGUUCGUCCUGCCCCAGAUUCUAAUCUUGAUCAAUUUUUGUCUUCUGGCCCUGUCAUAGCUGAAGAAAGAAGGGAGAAGCAGAGAAAAGUUGAUAAGCUAAAGAAAGACAAAAUGCUUCUGAUGAGAAACUCUAUCAGAAUGCACCCGGUGAUCACCCAAAGAUGUUUAUCAAAGAAAUUGGAAAGCGAAAAUUUGCUGACAGAUAUGGUGAUCGUUCUGGAAUUCGUAUGUAGGGUUAUGAAGCUAAUAAGAAGAUGUGGAUUGUAAAGCGAAAGAGCAGAAACAUAAAGUAUUAUGCGAAGAAGAUUGAAUUUGUAUCGUGGACAAAAGUUGAUAUUGUAGAGCUGGUCCACGCACCGUUCCACAAUCCAACAAAUGAACCCAACGCAUGGCCGUUUAAAAGGUUCCUAGAAUACAAAGCGAAGCAGAACUUUGAAGGCUUGAAAACUGCAUCAUUGUUCGUUAAAAAGGUCAAGGGUGUUAUUGAUGCCCACACCAACAAGACUAUGGUGAAUGUUAUGUGGUCGCCUACAAAUAAAGCGAAAAAGAUCCCUAUCACUCAGCGGGUACCUGAUGGUUCUUUGAAUGAUUUACUAUUUUGGGUAUAUGAUGAGGCUACAACGACUGUCGUAAUCAAGAUGAAAAAGGUGUUGGAUAAGGUGUCUAAGUCCAUAACUAUAAUUGGUAUGUACUAGACCCAAUAGUAGCAUGGUGUUUGUGGGUUGCCUUCACCAGAGCAAUUUGAUAGGAUGGACUUACGUGUGACAACCCGAAAUUUCUAUCUUGUACAACCAUUCAAUUCAGUCAAACUCAGACGUGUUUCUGUUAACUUUUAGCACUGUUUAGAGUCUGUUUGAUCAUUCUAACCCUAUUACAUCAAAGGAUUAAGUGUUUCUAUGUGUCAACUGAAGUUCAAAACCAACAAACAAGCCAUAAACCCCUCAAUGAGGAGUUUACGGCCAGGACACAUGAGUUUACAGCCGUAAACUCAUGGUGGACGUAAACUCUAGGCUAUAAGUAUGAAGCUUGGACAUUUUUCUUCACUUUUACCUUUUCCAUGUCUAGAAACUCGAAAUCUCUCUCAAGUGUCAUAGGAUCUUGCUUCCAAUUCUUCAAAAAUGUAAGUGCUUUCUUCCAUCUAUGUGUUAAUACAUCUCUUAUUCUUGAAUAACCUUUGAAUUCAUCGAUGAAUUUCAUCUUUUGGGUCUAGAUCUUCAAGAUCCUCAAGAACAUCAAGAGCACAUUAGUUCUUCGGGUCGAAAUCUACUCUUCUAAGCUUCAACAUCGUAAGUAUCCUUUUAUAUACUUGCUAUCUCGUUAGGACUCUUGAUUCACACCUUGAAAACAAGCUUUUCACAAGAACAAACAGAGUUUAUGGCCAAGAGCAUCUCCUUAGGCCGUAAAUCCUUAAUAUGGGUGUAUUUGGACCUUAAACUCUUCCUAAGGCUUGGUCAUGAACCUAGAACCAUUCCUCAAUGCUUUAAAUCCCUUUUGAAACACCCAUAUGCACAAAUUAGCAUGAGUUUACAGCCGUAAACUGAUGGCCGUGACUCCCUUGGUCAUGCCAUCUUGGCCGUAAACACCAUAGUGUGGCCUUAAAUCCUUUAGAUGCAACCCUUUGUACUUCUAACACUUCAAAAUAAGUGUUUCCUAAGUCNAUUUUAAUUUGAAAAUUGAUUAGUGUUUUGCAUUUUUUUCAGACAAAUAUUAUCUUUGUGAUGCCGCGUAUGCACACACUCGAGGAUUUAUGGCCCCUUAUCGUAAUGUGAGGUAUUGGCUUGGAGAUUUUCGUCAAAGACGUGCAUUGACCAAUAAAGAAAAAUUUAACCAUGGACAUGCAAAACUUCGGAAUGUCAUUGAGCGUGCUUUUGGUGUUUUGAAAGCACGCUUCCCUAUAUUGAAGAGGAUGGCACCAUUCCCGUUUGUGACACAAAGAAACAUUGCCAUGGCAUGCUUCGCGCUUCAUAAUUAUAUAAGGAAAGAAGGAUUGAGUGAUGAGUAUUUCGCACGAUACGAUGAACCCAAUGUCCCGUUUCGAAAUAACAAUGUGGCCAUUGAUGAUGAUGAAGACGGGAUUCCAACACAUGGUACUGCAGCAGACCGUGAAUAUAUGACUCAGUUACGUGAUGAAAUUGCUGAUCAGUUGAUGCACAAUAUAGAUUGAAUUGUUUUAAAUGAAAUUGUUAUUGUAAAACAUUUUUUUUAUUGUAUGACUAAUUUAGUUGCAUGAAUUUUAUUUUCAAUGUUAUAAGACUAUUAUUAUUAAAAUUUUGGUGUUGAAAAAUCAUUUUAAGUUUGUAAAAUAAUUUUAUUUAAAAUUCAGUUUAUUUCAGCAGCCUGCAGACGUUAAAAAACAAACAGUCUUCUUAUUGCAGACUGCAGACGUUUGGUCCACCUCUUCUGCUGCAGAGGCUUGCAGAUGUGGUCCGCAGACUGCAGACAUUUUGGCUUCAGAAAAACAAACAGCACCUAAGAGAACAAACAAUACACUACAUUAUACAAGAGAACAUACUAUGAUGAGAAACAAAGAGAACAUACACUACACUAAUAUAGAGAAAACAUACAAUACACUAUAACAUACUAUACAAACACAAGAACACUAUAACAUUAAUGUGAGCUACUAAUUCAUGGCAUGGAAAUCAAUUGUUGUGUCACAUUUUGGAACCAGAGUCUUCUGGAGGGAGACCGUGAGUUGGUGUAUAGAUUUAUACGGGAUUGACUAUCUUACACCUUGCUGCUAGCUAUAGUGGGACCUGCAGGUCUACGGGUGACUAAUGUCAUACCAUUUCGAUGCCUUAGAGCGUCGGGUNUAAGUCUAUCAAGUAUGGUUACAAUCAUAUCACAUUUUACCUUAAUUAACAAACUGUUUAAGGUAGUUAGUACAUUGGUAGUUACUUACAUACAAUACUACUGUACACUGUUAUUUAACCAUUGCAUUCAUAUUUUCAACUUCUCACAUAAACAAUAAUGUAAACUAUAUUUUGGUAAUAAUAGUCACAUUUGGGAAAGAUACGCUUUUAAAAACAACACAACACACAUAACAUUUGGGCCUUGGUAGAAGGUUACUUUUAGUUGAAAAUAUAGGAUUUUCUAGGAGAUAUAAACAUUAACUACAAAUUCUUACAAACAUUUACAUCAAACAUUUACAAGCACUUUCAUACAAGCAAUGACACUAAAAUACUUAUGAACUCACCAGCUUUAAUGCUGAUAUGCGCUUUCAAAAUAACUUGUAUUCUCAGGUCAUCAGUAGACAGGUACCGAUGCCAGAUUUUGAGAAGAUAGAGUACGUUCAAGACUCAUCUCUUAUUUUGAUUUAUAUUUUUGGUGUCUUAUAAACUAUACACAACACAGUUGUAUCAAAAUUAUAUUAUUGAUGCAAUGGAUGAUGUUGUUGCUUGUUUACUAUUAUACAUGGUUGUGAUAUUGUACAUGACGUCCUCCACCCCCGAACGUUUCCGCCGUUCAGGUUUUGGGGUGUGACAGAUUGGUAUUAGAGCAUUGUUUAUAAUGAAUCGAGUAUAUCAACCCAUAAAAGAUAUACAAACUAUAAACACAACGGGAUUAAAAUACUCUGACCAAGAGUUUAUACUUUUAAAUAAUAAAAUAUUUAACUAAGUAUACAUACAUGCGUUCAUACUAAAAUCCGUGUCACUAAGACAGAACAAAAGUAUUACGAUUGUUAAACAACUCAAUCAGGCUUGGGAACAUAUAAUCAGAUCUGGGAGUGAUAUAACCUGAUCAACUAUAUCUUUCCAAGGAGUGAUUAGCAUGUUCCUAGGAAUGGUUGUGAUGUUGCAGCAAGUCUAAAAACUUACCAACACUACUACAAUGAAAACAUUAGAACAGAACAUAAGCUUAAAAUACUAUAGGAGUAUUUUUUUGUUACUAUAAUUACUUAUUUGAGAACUAAAGGCCUUUAUUAGUAAGUCAAUAGCUGCUUGGUGGAUACGCUAAGGUUAUAUGUGACUAGAGCGUCAUAGACUUAGAAUCUGUAAUCUUUGCUCUAUUUCCGGUUCCUUGUUUGGUUGUGGAUUUGGAGUUAGGGUCACUUAUUAUAAGGUCUAUCCUAUUUUGAUUACAUGUAAUUGGUAUGCACUAUGCAAAUAUUGAAGUAACUGAUAAAGAUCAUCUUAUAAUUAUCCUAAUUAGUAGGUUUAUUAACUAUCUCUUUUAUCCCUAUUCUCACAUAGAUAACAUGGCUGGAUUCCAUCCCCACGUCGACCCGUACUUUCCCAACCAAGAUAACGGAGGAUGGCUCGAUGUAGAGCCAGAAGAAAAUCAUCCAAUCCCUUUGGAUGAUGACUUUGCAGAGAACUUCUCGAAGGAUUCUGACUCUGAACCCGAAGUUAAUAACCAACCCCCAGUGGCUCAAAUCCCAAACCCCAACCCUCAUCCAGCAUUUCAAGGUCCCACACCCCUGUGGGCAACAAACUUGAAUAGAUGGAGCCACGAACAAGGUCAACCCUUACCUUACAAUGGAGACCGAAGCUUCUAUAACUUGAGAGAGGGAGACUCAGCGGAUAGAGUCUUGCCUAUUCUGGUUUGUAGGAUUACUCGUAAUGAUGAACAGGGUAGAGUGGCCAUCAACCGAAUCAUGGAAAUUGAUGCCGAUGCGGGAGUCAAUACCAUUCUUAUUUGCCAUAUGGAGUCUGGUUAUGAAAGGACUCAGAACCAGAAUGCAACCCUGCAGAGAGAUCUUACUGCAACCCAAGCUGAAGUCAGGGAACUUCGAGCUCGGCAGGCGACAUAUGAAAGACGCAUGAGGAAUAUGGAGCGUCGUCUAGCAGAAUCAAGGACUCAUUCUAGUGGUUCUUGUCGUAGAUAGAGCCUACUCAACUUCUCUUUUGGAUAUAACUUAGGUAUAUGUAAAAACUCUAGUUUUAGUUUCCUAUCUAUGAUAAGACUUUAAACUUGUUAAGUCUUAAUUCUGUCAAAAUUUUCCUAUCUUGGUUUGAUGUAAGACCUACUUCUAGGUCAUUUUUCCCAAACUUGUUACAUUUGUAAUACCAGUAUUAUUGACAUAUAUCUAAUCUCAUGGAAAUUUAAUAUCUAAAUGCUUUCAUCUUUCUAGUGUUAGAUCUACAUUCAAUCACACUCUCAUUUAUUUUGUUGGACUAUGGAGAGUUAGUUCAUGUGUCACUCUCAUCAUUUUCUCUAUCAAACUCUUAACCAUAUCUUUAUCCUUGUAAUCUUAUAGCCGCAAGAUGCCUCUGCGUUCAUCAGCAAGACGCACUACUCCAAUAACUCCGAUCAAACUCCAACUCCUCCUCCUCCUCAAUACAACCCAACAGCUAUCCAAGUUGUUGUGAAUGCGGCUGUUACGAAAGCUCUAGCACAAUUCACCACUAACGGUACUAGUGGGAGUGGGACUUAUGUGCCUCCCACUGUUGUCGAAGCUCCAGUGUGCUCUAGAGAGUGCUCAUAGAAGGACUUCACCAGCUGCAAACCCAGGGCCUUCAAUGGAACUGGCGGAAUCAUUGCCCUCUCGCAAUGGUUCGAGAAGACGGAGUCAAUAUUUGAGAUCUACUCCUGUCCGGAAGGGAGCAAAGUCAAAUUUGCCGCCUGCACCUUCGCGGACCGAGCACUGACAUGGUGGAAUAGCCAUGUCAAGUCACUAUCUCUUAUAGUGGCAAAUGCUAUCGGAUGGGAAGCUCUAAAGGAGCUCAUGAUCGAAGAAUACUGCCCAAGGGGCGAAGUUCAAAAACUAGAGCAGGAACUCUGGAGCCUAACCAUAAAGGGCUCCAACAUACUUUCCUACACUGCUAGAUUCAGUGAUCUGGUACCACUAUGUCCGGGAAUGGUCCCUUCUAAAGCAAAGAAGGUGGAGAGGUAUAUCCGGGGGCUGGUGCCUCCAUUCCAGGGGAAUUUACUAGCUUCAAACCCCACUACCUUUGAUAGUGCCAAGCGAUUGGCACAACGGCUCAUUGACCAUGGGGUCUGUACCCCGUCAACAACAACAAACCUAGCCAUCUCAGAACCCUCCAAAGCCACUGAUAACAAGCGGAAAUUUUGGUAUGUAAAGAAGAAGAACGCUGCGCAGAAAGCUGCCAACAAGCAGCAGGUCACAGCGGUUCAUGCUGCAAUAGCACCUGCUACUGCUGUCCCGGUAAAGCAGUACGCGGGGAGUUUCCGAAGUGCAACAAAUGCAGCUUCCACCACAACGGACCCUGUCGAGAAAUGCAGUGCUCUAACUGCAACAGGAAGGGGCACACUGCCCGUUUCUGCAAAUCUCUGGCAAGGCCAAUCAACCAAGUCCCCGACGAUGGUGUGGGCCAGGCUCUCUACGGUUGUGGAGAGGUGGGCCACUACAAAAGGAACUGCCAUAAGGCAGGGAAUGCCGGUGAAGUGGGAAUAGUUUUGGGUAUAGACCAUGAGGAAGCUGUUGCCGACGCCAUGAUGGUCACUGGUACGUUUCUCCUCAAUAACUCUUAUGCAUGCAGACUGUUUGAUAGUGGAGCGGAGAGGAGUUUCGUGAACCAAAAAUUUUCUCAUUUACUUAAGCAAAAAUCACGAAUACUUAAAGAACCGUUCACUGUAGAAAUGGCUAACGGAAAGACUGAGAGCACUAGCAUUAUAUACAUAGGAUGUACUCUACUCUAGAUANGACUGAGAGCACUAGCAUUAUAUACAUAGGAUGUACUCUAACUCUAGAUAGACAUUCAUUUUCAAUCGACCUCAUACCGGUCUCAAUUAAAAGUUUCGGCGUCAUUAUCAGCAUGGAUUGGUUGAGUCUGCAACAUGCCGACAUCAUGUGUUAUGAAAAGGUUGUUUGCCUUAAUCUGCCAUCUGGAGAAACUCUAGUAGUCUAUGGCGACAAACCUGACACGAACCUUCAUAUCAUCUCGAGUAUUCAAGCCCAGAAGUACUUGCGAAAGAAAUGUCGUGCAUUCAUUGCUCAUGUUGUCGAUGUGAGCCAAGAGAUAAAAGACAUAAAGAACAUCUAAGUGUUAUGCAAUUUUCCCAACAUCUUUCCAGAAGAACUCCCAGGAUUAUCUCCGCAACGUCAAUUCGAGUUCAGAAUCGACUUAGUUCCAGGGGCUACCCUAGUAGCCAAAUCGCCCUAUCAUCUAUCACCAGCAGAGAUGCAGGAACUAUCCGGUCAACUUAACGAGCUGCUCAACAAGGGCUUCAUUAGACCAAGCUUCUCACCCUGGGGAGCUCCGGUCUUGUUCGUAAAGAAGAAAGACGGAUCGUUUCGUAUGUGCAUCGACUACAGAGAACUAAACAAGCUUACCGUUAAGAAUCGUUACCCUCUGCCUCUCAUAGACGAUUUGUUCGACCAACUUCAAGGGGCGAACUACUUUUCAAAGAUAGACCUGAGAUCCGGGUAUCACCAAUUACGAGUGCUAGAGGAGGAUGUUCCGAAGACAGCCUUCCAAACUCGUUAUGGACACUACGAGUUUGUAGUGAUGUCAUUCAGAUCGACUAAUGCGCCCGCUAGGGGUGUUCAAAAAUAUCCGUAUCCGAAAGUUCCGAUCCGAAAUUCUGAAAUUCCGAAUCCAAAUUAUCCGAAAAAUCGGAUAUCCGAUUUUUCGGAAUCGAAAUUGGAUAAUGCUUUUCAGAUUUUUCGGAUAAUUCGGAUAUCCGAUAUCCGAAAGUUUUGAUUUUAUUUUAUACAUUAUUUGUUAUUUUAGUCACAUAUGUCUAAUGAUAUGAACGUUAGUAACUAAAACAUGUUAAUAAUACCCUUAAUUAAAUACCAAUACUACUUCAUAUGCCUUUCUAAUUUAAAAAUAUGUAUUUUUAAUUUAAAAAGUUCAUAUCACUACAAAUAAAAUUACAUUUAGUGGCACAAAUUUUUAGUGGCAAAAUUUUUUUGUGCCACAAUAGUUAUGUUUUAAGUGGCACAUAGUUAUUUCUGCCACUAUAAUACCCUUGAAUUGAAAUUUUUAGUUUUGAUGAUCCCGCUCCAAGUUCCCUCCAAGUCUAGAUAUGACGCUUCUCACCCCAAAACUAAUAUCAUGUGAGAGGCAACCCUAAUUCUCUGUCUCCAAACUCCAAUCUUCUCUGCAACCCUAAUUUCUCCCUAACCGGCAGCCUAAUCACCACAUACUGUCUUCUCCACCAAACGCAGUCGAUACCGCCAUCCUCACCAUCUGUUCCAGUCAAUCAUCGAUUUUCCCUGUAGAACCCCGUAUCCUUCAUCCUACAACUUCACAACAUCGAUUCAGUGUUCCCUCAUCCUCCAUAACUCCGAAUCAAAAGUUAUGAGCAUUUAUUUGUGAAGGAAGAAAAUCAACCCACUCAGAUUAAGGUACUUCGAUUUUGAUUCAAUUUCCCCACGAUUCCCCUGUUAGUUCGAAUCAAAAGUUUUGUUUUGGCAGUAUAAUGUUGUUUAUUUUUAUCGAUUUCUAUAAACUCUCCUCUCCUGUCUAUCGAUUUCUAUUAACAAUACAACUUUGCUCUUCCGAUUUUUAUAACUCUGAGAAUAUUUUUCAUCUAUGCAAUACAACUUUCCUCUUCCAAUUUUUAUAACUCUGAGAAUAUUUUUCAUCUAUGCAAUACAACUUUCCUCUUCCAAUUUUUAUAACUCUGAGAAUAUUUUUCAUCUAUGCAAUCUAGGACUCAUUAGAGUUGUGGAAGUAUUCUCCUAUUUGGUUCUUAUUUUGUAUAACCAUGCCCCUCUUGCUAUGAAAUUGCCUGGUUUUUCGGUUUUGGCUCUGGAAUUUUAUCAAGUUGCGAUGUAAUCGUUACCACAUUUUGGUUGCUUUGGUUCUUAAAGAGUUUUUUUCAAUCUGGACGAUUCUACCCUUGAUGGUCUAUCCCCUACACAUAGAGGUGUAUUUAGAGAAACCUUCUAUCAUUUUGAGGUGGAUGUCAGUAGACAUCACAAAGAAUUAUAUUUGAGUCGAUUUGCUGAUUGUGAAGCAUCUGCUUAAAGAACAUGCAUCAAUUUGUGCUUCUUCUUCAUCUGUGUAUUGUAUAUGCUGAUUACCUCGUAGUUUUUCUUCUUCAUUUUGUGAUUAUUCUUAUCUAAUCAAUAAUUUAAGACUAAUUUCACAUGAUAUAUAUCUUCAACUAUCAGUCAGCCUAUGAGGUGAGCUAAUGGAAAUGUGGUGAGUACCAUUAUUUGUUCUAAUGCAGUCAAAACUCAAAAUAAGAUCAAAGAGAGGUACUUUUUCUUUUCUUGUUGUAAAAUCCUAUUUUUGUUUUAGGUAUGUGAGUAUGUCAAUAUAUCAUUCACUUUUGAGCAACAUAUAAAUUAAGCUCCGAAAAAAUAAUAAAAGUUAUAUCAUUUUCUAUAAGGCUAGAUGGCAUUGAUAUUGUUCAUCUCCUUAACAAGCUCGUUAAUAGAGACAAUUGACAAUCAAUUUGACCAUAUUUACUGAUUUACAAAACACUGUUACUUAGGUGCCUAUAAUAUGUGACAAUAAGUAGUGUUAAACUUGAACCAUGCCAUUUUAAGUGCUCAUAGUAGGUUUGCUACAACUUUAAAAAAUAUUUUUGGACAAUUUAGUAAUUAAGUUCUAUGAAAAUUAAGUAAAUUAUUGCAAAAUCUUGUUCUUACCGCCCCAACAAACAAUGUUAUUAUCAGUUAGUUUUCAGUUUUGAAAUAUGAAGUGAACUUUUUGUUUCAUUUUGUUUUCAUUCAAUGUGCAGGUUAUACUAACAUUACUAAAUGCUCGAAUGUCAACAAAAUCCCGUAACAACAGGUCAAUUAAGAGUGUUUGAGCAGCACCAUGUCCUUUUUACCACUACUCAUCAUUUUGGUUCUCCCAUUUCUUUUAUUUCUUUUUCAUUCCCCACUUUUUAUCUUUCAUUUGAUUUAGAUUCGGCAUCAUAUAAUUACUAAGGAGAGCAAGUUAAUACUCCAGCUCCAUCAUUCUUUUUCUAUCUGUGUCUCUAUUGGUAGAUAUCAUCCGUGAAUCCAGAAAGUGCUUGACCUGGGUCGUAAUAGAGGGAUGUUGAAGACAAUUAUUCAAAUGAUGACUACUUUAAAGUUAAGGAUGCAGAGAAACAUGGGUACAUUCUAUUUGUAUGAAGGGUGAACAUUGUAAAAGACAAUGGUCCAAGUAUUUAGUCUGAUAGUUUUUUAUUUUGUGUAAUUACUAGCACAAUGUUUAGACUUAUUAAGCAUUUUGGAAGCUAUUUUUGUUUUAAAUAUUGAGGAUAUUAUUGUAAUACAAGUUAGAUUUAAUUAAGUAAUGUUUUAUGUUGUUCAUGUAUUAUCUUAAUUAUUUUUUUAUUAUUUAAUGUUUCAUUUCAAUUUUAAAAAACAAAUUGGACCUAAUUUGUACUAUAAAUGUUUUGUAGUAAAAAAAGUGAUCUCAAAAAAAUAAAAAAUGUUUUUUUAAUUAUAGCAAUUAUAUAGCAACAUAAAAAAUGUCAAAGAAACCAAAAAGUGCUAUAGUGGCAUAAAAAAAGUGCCACUAAAACCCAAAAGGGCUGCAACGACACAAUCAAAAAGUGUCACUAAAAGUCUUUAGUGGCAGCUCUUUUAGUGACACUUUUUUUUUGUGCUGCUGAUUGCCGAGGGGGUCUUUAGUGGCACUUUUUUUUGUGCCACUAAAUGUUGUUUUAUUUGUAGUGUAUGUUUUUCAACUUUUAACAAAAUUUCGGAUACGGAAUCGGAUAUCGAAAAUCAACUAUCCAAAAUUUCGGAUAUCCGAACUUUCGGAUAUCAGGUUAUGAACACCCUUAGAGCCUGCAGUAUUCAUGGAUUUAAUGAAUAGGGUAUGUCGUCCUUACUUAGAUCAGUUCGUCAUUGUGUUUAUUGAUGACUUACUUAUCCACUCUCGUAGAAAGGAAGAGCAUAGUAAGCAUCUACGUCAGAUCUUGGAAACAUUACGAAUAGAGAAGCUCUACGCGAAGUUCUCUAAAUGCGAGUUUUGGAUUCAAAGAAUCGAAUUCCUGGGUCACGUUGUUAGUGAAGAGGGAAUUCAUGUGGACCCUUCCGAAAUCAAAGCCAUUGAGAACUGGUCAGCACCGAAGACGCCUACAGAAAUUUGCCAAUUUUUUAGGCCUCGCUAGCUACUACGGUAGGUUCAUUUAGAACUUCUCUAGAAUCGAGAAACCUCUUACUACAUUGACCCAGAAGGGCCUGGCCUUUGAUUGGGAAGAGAAACAAGAGAAAGCGUUCCAAACGCUCAAGCGAGCCUUAUGCACCGCAUCGAUACUAUCCCUCCCCGAAGGAAUAGAAGACUUCGUAGUCUAUUGCGAUGCAUCCAAUUAAGGGCUCGGUUGUGUUCUAAUGCAACGAGGUAAGGUCAUCACCUAUGCCUCAAGACAGCUGAAGACACACGAGGUCAACUACACUACACAUGAUCUUGAGUUAGGAGCGGUUGUGUUUGCUCUGAAGAUCUGGAGACGCUACCUAUAUGGUACGAAAAGCACUAUCUUUACAGACCACGAAAAGCCUCAACACAUAUUCGACCAGAAGGAACUCAACAUGAGACAACGACGAUGGGUCGAACUACUCAGUAACUAUGAAUGAGAAAUUCGUUAUCAUCCCGGCAAGGCCAACGUAGUAGCUGGCGCCCUGAGUCGGAAAGAAUACUUUGGUCGUAGAGUUAAAUAAUUGACUAUGACUAUCCAUUCACAUUUGUCCACACAAAUUAAGGAGGCUCAACUUGAAGCCUUGAAACCUGAAAAUGUGGCAAGUGAAUCACUAAGAGGGAUGGAUAAGAACUUGGAAGUCAAGGGUGGCAGAGCCUUAUAUUUCAUGGAUUGGAUCUGGACACCGAAACAAGGUGGUUUCAGAGACUUGGUCAUGACCGAAGCGCACAACACUCGAUAUUCCGUCCACCCAGGUUCAGAUAAGAUAUAUAUGGAUCUUAAAAAGUUAUACUGGUGGCCUAACAUGAAAGUAGAGAUUGCUACCUUCGUGAGUAAAUGCCUUACUUGCGCCAAGGUUAAGGUCGAAUACCAGAAACCCUCAAGUUUACUUCAACAACCGGAGAUACCUGAAUGGAAGUGGGAGCGGAUCACGAUGGACUUCAUAACCAAGUUGCCCAAGACUACGGGUGGUCUCAAUACCAUUUGGGUGAUCGUAGACAGGUUAACCAAGUCCGCACACUUCCUGCCCAUCAAAGAAACUGACAAUAUGGAGAAGCUAACUACAACCUACAUCAGGGAGAUCGUAUGACUGCAUGGUGUUCCCAUAUCCAUUAUCUCAGAGAGAUAGUANNNNNNNNNNNNNNNNNNNNNNNNNNNNNNNNNNNNNNNNNNNNNNNNNNNNNNNNNNNNNNNNNNNNCUACCAUCCACAAACCGACGGUCAUUCAAACUUUGGAAGAUAUGUUGCGAGCCUGCGUGAUAGACUUUGUGAAGGCAUGGGAUACUCAUUUACCCAUUAUUGAGUUUUCCUACAACAAUAAUUAUCACACGAGCAUAAAGGCUGCUCCAUUUGAAGCCCUCUAUGGCCGUAAGUGUAAAUCCACUCUGUGUUGGGCUGAGGUGGGCAACACGCAGUUAGCUAAAGGACGAGUUCCUGACAGCACUCUCACAGGUCCAAAAAUCAUUUGGGAAACGACAGAGAAGAUUGUUCAAAUCCGUGAACGAUUAAAAGCCUCUAGAGACCGAUAGAAAAGCUACGCAGACAAGAGAAGAAAACCUUUCGAAUUCUGGGUUGGCGACCGUGUUCUACUGAAGGUCUCACCCUAGAAGGGCUUGAUACGCUUCGAAAAGCAUGGAAAGCUAAAUCCAAGAUACAUAGGGUCUUUUGAGAUUCUCGCUAGAAUCGGCCAUGUAGCUUACAAACUCAAUCUACCUCACGAACUCAGUAACGUACAUCCUACUUUCAACGUCUCAAACUUGAAAAGGUGUCUGUCUGACGAGACUCUUCUAAUCCAACUCGACGAGAUCAAGAUCAACGAGAUCCUCAACUUUGUGGAGGAACCACUAGAGAUCAUGGACCGAGAGGUCAAGCAAACAAAGCAAAGUCGGAUCCCAAUAGUGAGGUUCGCUGGAAUGUCAAGCGAGGACCUGAAUUCACUUGGGAGCGCGAGGAUCAAAUGAAAUUGAAAUAUCCUCACAUUUUCGAUUAGUUAUUUGUAACUACUUAUUGGCUUAAACUCUAAUUUUAGGACGAAAUUCUCUCUAACGGGGGGAUGAUGUGACUACCCAAAAUUUCUAUCUUGUACAACCAUUCAAUUCAGUCAAAGUUAGACUUGUUUCUGCUAACUUUUAGCACUGUUUAGAGUCUAUUUGAGUAUUUUAAGCCUAGUACAUCACAGGAUUAAGUGUUUGUAUGUGUCAACUGAAGUUCAAACCCAACAAACAAGCCAUAAACCCCUCAAUGAGGAGUUUACGGACAGGACACAUGAAUUUACGGCCGUAAACUCAUGGUGGACGUAAACUCUAGGCUAUAAUUAAGAAGUUUGGCCAUUUUUCUUCACUUUUACCAUUUCCAAGUCUAGAAACUCGAAAUCUCUCUCAAGUGUCAUAGGAUCUUGCUUCCAAUUCUUCAAAAAUGUAAGUGAUUUCCUCCAUCUAUGUGUUAAUACAUCUCUUAUUCUUAAAUCACCUUUUAAUUCAUCCAUGAAUUUCAUCUUUUGGGUCUAGAUCUUCAAGAUCCUCAAGAACAUCAAGAACAAAUUAGUGCUUUGGGGCCGAAAUCUACUCUUCUAAGCUUCAACAUCAUAAGUAUCCUCUUAUAUACUUUCUAUCUAGUUAGGACUCUUGAUUUACACCUUGAAAACAAGCUUUUCCAAAGAACAACAAGAGUUUAUGGCCAAGAGCAUCUCCCUUGGCCGUAAACCCUUAUUAUGGGUUCAUUUGGACCUUAGACUCUUCCUAAGGCUUGGUCAUGAACCUAUAACCAUUCCUCAAUGCUUUAUAGCCCUAUAAAAUACCCAUAUGCAAAAAGUAGCAUGAGUUUACGGCCGUAAACUGAUGGCCGUGACUCCCUUGGUCAUGCCAUCUUGGCCGUAAACACCAUAGUGUGGCCUUAAACCGCUUAGAUGCAACCCAUUGUACUUCUAACACUUCAAAAUAAGUGUUUCCUAAGUCCUAGGGUGUCUUUCCUUACAUGAUUAGUUGUUUACAUACUAAUUGUAUGCAUAUAUGUGUCAUUAUAUGCUAAAUAGGAUCCGUGUGUGUGCUCAAGUCUUCACUUGACACUUAGUAUGCUAUACCACUCGUUCAUCCAAACCACUUACUACAGGUGAGUUCAUACCCUUUAACUUACCUUUUAAAUGAUUUUAUUAGGGGGAGGAUACAAGUUGAAACAUUAUAUUUAUUAUAUCAAUCACAUGUGAUUAAUAACUAUCAAACAGAUGGAUUUACUAUACUGUUAACUGUUUUAUCAAACAAACUACCUCAAAUCGCUUUACAAACUUGUUACAUGCAAAACUCCUUAUUAAGCUCUUUUAAACUAAUAUAUUUUCAAAAUCAUGUCUGUAUAGAUAUAGUUAUAUAAGUAGGAUUGAAAGGACUUAGGACUGAUAACUCGCCUUACUUCCUGUUCCUUGUUUGGUUGUGGACUUAGGGUAUUCGGUUGUUUGUCCGACGGUCGUUUGAAUAUUAGUUAUAUAUUAUGUGUAUGUAUAUGGAUAUUAAAGUUCUACAUUCAGUUUAAUACCUUUAGGAAGCAAAGGUGUACAAACAUGUUCAUUUAUACAAACAACUCUACUAGUAAACUAUAAUAAGUAUAGUUUAGGAAGUCACUACACACUAUUUCUAGUACAAUGAAACAUACAAGAAUCAGUUCAUUCAUGAGUCAAUACAAACUAACUAUUAUGAGAAACAGAACAAACAUACUAUGAUGAGAAACUAAGAGAACAUACAAUACACUACAUUAUACAAGAGAACAUACUAUGAUGAAAAGCAAAGAGAACAUACACUACACUAGUACAAAGAGAACAUACACUACACUAGUACAGAGAAAACGUAUAAUCCACUAGAACAUACUAUACAAACACUAGAACAGUAUAACAUUAAUGUGAGCCACUACUUCAUGGCAUGGCAAUUAAUUGUUGUGUCACGUUUUGCAACCAGAGUCUCAUGGAGGGAGAGCGUGAGUUGGUGUAUAGAUCUAUACGGGAUUGACUUUCCUACACCUUGCUGCAAGCUACAGUGGGACCUGCAGGUCUACAUGUGAGUAAUUUCAUACCAUUUCGAUGCCUUAGAGAGUCGUGUUAUACUAAGUCUAUCAAGUAUGGUUACAAUCAUAUCACAUUUUACCUUAAUUAACAAACUGGUUUAAGGUAGUUAGUACACUGGUAGUUACUUACAUACAAUACUACUGUACACUGUUAUUUUCCCAUAACAUUCAUAUUGUGAUCUUCUCACAUAAAUGGUAAUGUAAACUAUAUUUUGGUAAUAAUAGUCAUAUUUGGGAAAGAUAAGCUUUUACAAACAACACAACACACAGAACAAUUGGGCCUUGGUAAACGGUUACUUUUAGUUGAAAAUAUAGGAUUUUCUAGGAGAUACAAACAUUUACUACAAACUCUUACAAAAAUUUACAUCAAACAUUUACAAACACUUUCAUACAAGCAAUGACACUAAAAUACUUAUGAACUCACCAGCUUUAAUAUUAAUCUUCGCUUUCAAAAUAACUUGUAUUCUCAGGUCAUCAGUAGAUAGGUACCGAUGCCAGGUUUUGAGAAGAUGGAGUAGGUUCAAGACUCAUCUCUUAUUUUGAUUUAUAUUUUUGGUGUCUUAUAAACUAUACAAAACACACUUGUAUGAAAAUUGUAUUAUUAAUGCAAUGGAUGAUGUUGUUGCUUGUUUACUAUUAUACAUGGUUGUGAUACUGUACAUGACGUCCUCCGCCCCUAAAGGUUUCCGUCGUUCAGGUUUUGGGGUGUGACAUUACGAGAAUAAGGUUAUUUAUGAUUUGUUAAUAUAUUACAAGUAUAAUAUAUUAAUCUGAAUUCAUAUUAUUUAAUUAGUAUUAAUCAAGAAUUAAUUAGGAAUUAAUUUAGUGAUCAAAAGAGACUAAUUAAAUAUUCGGGGACUGAUUAAGUAAAUCAAUGAUUCUUAUAGUGUGGGCCAAUGAUUCGUGGUUAUUUAGGAUGGGCUAAACCAAUGUGAUAGUCCAUAGAGGUUUAACCCAUGAAGCCUAUGUAAUAUGAAAGGUCAUGGUGCAUUAGGGUUUGCAAAGAUGUAACCCUAGCAUUUAUCACACUAUAAAAGGAGUUCCCUAGAACUAAAAUCAGUUACACCUAUCAUUCUAAGAGUUUAAUAUUGAUUGUGUGCUAACUAGCUUAUUCUCUCAAGCUUCCUCUUGCAUUUGGUGUUUGUGACAUAGUAGAGACAUCACACUUGAGGUGCUAAAGCUUUCAAAGGUCAAGAACUACAAACUACAUCAAUAGGUAUUCAUCAAAACCAUUUAUAUUGUAUAUCAUCACUUGUAUGCUAGUUAGGAUGUAUGCUUUGGAAAAAUGAAAAUGCAUGUAUAAUUAGAGAAAACAUAGAUCCAAAGCAUCUAGGGUUGCAUGUGCACCAUAAGGUGCUUAUAGUGCUCAAAACUCUUCAGUGGUAUCAGAGCCUAGGAUUAUUUUCUAUUAUAUUUGAUGCUUGGUAAUAUUUUCAAAGUUGAAAAACUGUUUUGACAACACCUACUCGGCGAGUACAUGAUUGGAAUUGACGAGUAGGUUGGUUUUGGCCUUGAACUCGAUGAGUCCAUUGUUGGGCUCGACGAGUUGCACUUUCAGACAACAGUUUUUCGGGGUUUUUUGCCAGAAUUGGAUUACGAUCACUACCACAAACUGUUUUGAAUCAUAAUAUAUGUUAUUUUUGAUAUGGUAGUGAUCAUGCUCAUCCAGUUAAAAGAUAAUUGUCAAAAUUUCAAGACUUGUGUUAGUUUAUAUGAUAGGCUAAUUUCUUGUAAAUUUGUUGAUGUGAAUUAUCUUGACCUUAUGAGUUUAACUAGAUCAUAGAUAAAUUACUUGGUAAUUUUUUGUUAGUUAAAGUGUUGAUCUAAAUGCCUUUAAUGAAUUCCAUAACUUGUCCUCAAGUUAUGGAAAAUGAAAAGUGUCAUCUUUAAAAAAUGCAUUAAACACAUAAGUUAUGGAAAUGAAAAGUUUUGACAAGUUUCAAAACUUGCCCUCAAGUUUUGGAAUUUUUAAAGUCACACUUAUGAUUACUUUAAUUCUAAACCUUAGAAUUUUAAAAGUUUAAAAUUUAACCCUUAUACUAUUAUAUUAUAAUAAGUUUAAUAAUUAUAUAUAUGUAUAAGAAAAGUCAGUCUUACUGUUAGUAGGCCUCAUUUACGAAACCGGUCUAUAAGGGGGGGUAUAAGGUUACUACCUGUAAAAUGGUGGUUUAAUGUGUGUCCACUCUCACCCACCACUUCCUUGAUUGUUGGAGGGUCAUUAGCCAAACAGGUACGAUAGGACAAUAAUUAUCAUUAAAGUAUAAUGAUAAUUAUAAAGUAACUGAAUGUUUUAUUAAAUUCCGAAUCUUAGUUACUUUAGGAAAAUGUGAAAUUGAUGCUAAUACAUGAAAUUGCACUUUGCACCUUGCCAAGUUGUUAGUCGAGUGUGUGUGGCUAACCAACACACUAACAUAGACUAGUAAGGGUGGCAAAGGGUGGCUUGAUGUUUUUCAUAGAUCAAUGGAGCGUGUAUGGUUAACCGACACAUUGAUUAGGUGAUAUAUGAUAUCAAGAGUACCAAGCACAUUUGCAUGGUUAUUCACACCUUGUUUGUGAUCCUUGGUAUCCCAGUCACAAACUUGAAGGGCAUAAUCGAGAUUUAAACAUGCCAUUGAAAAGUUCAGUGAAUCUCAAAAGAAUCGAGGAAUUUCAAUCCAAUUAAAACUUAAUAAUUAAUUUCGUUUUUCAUGGUGGAAAUUGGUAAAUCGUUAUUUACCUACCUUCAAAUAUUUUGCAAUUGUAUUACAACAUCCCUCUUCCGAAUUGUAAAAUAUUGUGUUGGGUCCAAGCCUUAAUAUUUCAUUUGGGUUUUAUAUUAAGGACUAUUAUCUAAUCUAAACUUUGUCUUUCUUUUUAGAUGUCUUCUAACAGCGCUUCUGGCUCAAACCCUACUGGCUCUUUCUCCCUGGUGAACUUGUGUGGGAGAGUUAUCUUUGAUGGUUCCAACUUUAAUGAUUGGAUUAGGAACAUCAGGAUGGUUACUCUUUACGAGGACAAGGAAUAUGUCAUCGACAAAGAGCUUAAGGAAAUUGAUAAGUCUUCUGCUACUCCUGAGGAGAUUGCUGAGUAUAGGACUCAUGAGAAGGAUGCCACUAUGGUGCCUUGUAUCAUGUUGGCCACUAUGUCAGCUGAACUAUAAAAGUCCUAUGAGGACUUCUACCCUUUUGAGAUGCACCAAGACCUGAUGGAAAGAUACCAUCAGAGUGCUCGACAAGAAAGGUAUGAAAUCAUCACCUCCACGAUAACAACAAAGAUGAAGGAUGGAGAGUCUAUCACGACCCAGUUGUAGAAAAUGCAAUGGUUUAUGGACCGCUUGCUGAAGUUAAAUGUCAACUUCAAUGAAGAGUUGGCCAUAGAUAUCAUUCUACACUCUUUACCUCCUUGUUAUGAUCAGUUUCGUAUGACUUAUCAUAUGAACAAGGAGGAAGUCACUCUUAGCAAGCUUCAAGGCCUUUUGAGAGCUACUUCAAGUAGCCUCAAAGGCAAGCCUGUUGUAUUUACUUAUACUCCUACUGCUACUGCCCUUAUUUUGUAAAUUAGACAAGGGAAAGGGAAGAAGGGGAAGGAUCCUUCUAAGAGCUUCAAGGGAAGGUCUCAUGAUGAAUCCUCUUCAAAUGGAACCAAAGCUGGUUCUGCUAAUUCCUCUACCAAUUCAAAAGAAGCAGAGUGUUUCUAUUGUCAUGAAAAGGGGCACUAGAAGAGAAGCUGCCCCAAAUACUUGCGGGAUGUUUAGGAUGGGAAGGUUAAGCCCACCCAUGCAGGAAUUUUCACUAUUCUAUCUAAUAACUCGUCACAUUCUUGUUCUUGGGUCCUUGAUACAGGUUUUGGAUUUCACAUCUGUUCUGAUUUGCAGGGACUAAAAAGAAGUAGGGAUGUGGAGCACGGGAAGAUGAACUUGAUCAUGGGGAAUAUGUGACAUCCCAAAUUUCACGGCCAGAAAAGACCGAUUUGUUUAUGCUUUGGCUUUAAAAUCAGAGUAAUCUUUUAAAGAAAACAGUUGCGGAAUUUGUUCCAAAACAAAAUAUGAUAAAAAUUAUCAAAGCAUUUCUUCAAAGAAAUGUAUUUUCAUUAUAUAACAAAAUCUCGGGAUGUCAUGUUCAAUACAGACCAAAAGCAUAAAUAGAACAAAAUAGACCUUACAACAGUUAUUCAUAACUACUGGCCUAUAAUCCAAAAUCUCUCGUCAAGUCCACCAACUUAUACUCUUGUGCCAUUACCUGUAAUGCAAAGAAAACUGAGUGGGUCAGGCUUGGGAGCCUGGUGAGCAUAUAGGGUUUUCAACCCACAAUAAUAUAAUUAUUAUAUUUAAUUAUCAAACAAUCAAUUCAAAUACCCACCCCCAUUAUCUCCAUUUAUUUCUUAAAGAUUUAUCCUAAGAACCAAUUACCCUUCUCCCAUUCAUUCCUAAGGAUUGCCCUAAGGAACUGGCACAAUGUCUAGUGCUGCCAAGGUUCUUAGAUUACCUCUAGUGAACACGCAAUUCACAAUAAUUAAUGAACACCUAGUUCAAGAACACCUAAUGAACACUUAGUUCCAAUAUUACCCAAUGAACACCUAGUUCACAAACACUUAAUGAACACUUAGUUCAAUUAUCCCUGAUGAACACUAAGUUCAAAUAUCUAAUGAACACUUAGUUCGAAUAUCCCUGGUGAACCCAAUCACCUAAGGAACACAGAGAAUGAAAGCUCUUAGUUCAAACAACGUGAUAAUAAAGUAUAUCUCGAUCCUGCGAAACCACUAAUGUUAUAAACACAUAUAAAUUAUAUUUCUAAAACAAUAUAUCCCAUCCCGUCGAUCCCCACAUACUGACCCUAUACAAUGAUCUUACGAGAUCUAGCCUAAGGAAUCGAUAUGAACCACAAACUGACGAAGCUGCUUCGGAAAUUCCCUGGCAGCAAACGAGGAUCAAUAAAGACAUCAAAUGAGGGGAAUGGAAUAAGUUUCACCACGAACCUUCGUUCGUAAAAGAAAGAACCACAAGACAUUUUAAGUCAGGGGUAGUUAUCUAGAUAACAAUGCCUAGGCGUGGUCUGACUAUCAUGAGGUAUUAUACCCCCAGACUUUACCUAUCCCAGCAUCGAACUUUGCCUAGCAGUGGCCUGAAUACAUGAGGUAUUUAACCCCCAGACGCACCCUAUCCAGCAAUAUAACACCAAACAUACCUAGCAGUGGUCUAUUACCGACACACUUUAUUAGGCAGUCUACGAAGUUCCCUUAAUUACUUCGUGAAAGAAAACGCUGACAUAUGAAGCUCGGUCGAUCACUUCAUAAAAGAAACGCUGACUCCAAAGCUCUCUCAAAAUAAAAGUAUGGGGAAAUACUACUAGAGUACUCCCGUACGCUUCCAUAGCCGACACACAAAAUUAUCAAAAAGACUCUGUACAUGAUAGUACUUCUGGCACAUUAUAGUACUCUAGUAUGCGAAAGAAUCGUACCCGAGAACAUAAUAGUACCCUAGCACAAGCAGCACCCAAGACACAGAGCUUUGAAAAAGACUUCGUACAUAAAAUGUGCUUCUGUACGUAGGACGUACUGUACCGAUCAUCAAUCUCACACACAUGUACUCUUAACAAGAAGCUACCCAAUGUCCAAACUUAAUUGAACUAAACAUCCCUAUUUAAGUCUUAACCCAUCACUAGGCAAACCUACAAUGUUUAUAAUCAAUUUUUGAUACUAUCUCCGUUUAGGAAAUGCUAACUAUUGUAUAAUUAACACAAGGUUUUAAGUAAUAAUAUCAUAUAUUCACAUCUUAACACAUAUUGAACCAUAAAUGAUUCGCACGUUGUAUCUCAUCAAAUAUAUCUAACCCGUAUUUCGGACAAUAACAAAUACUUUACAUACAUAUGUAUAUUUCAUACUUUAAUCAAUACACGUAUAAAAAUCACGUUCCUAAAAGGGACUAUACGCAUGAUACCUUAUCGUAUGAACACAUAAUUCAAAAAUACACAAUCUGUACUCCCGGAUCUAAUAUUUACCUCCUUACCUAAUCCAUAUUCCCGGAUCUAAAACUAACUUCUUGAUUUGAUCCAUACUCUCGGAUCUAAAACUAACCUCCUGACCUGAUCCAUACAUCCAGAUCUAAAACAAGUUUAUUUCUUUAUCCUUUUAUCUCCUGGUCUAACCCAUCUUUUAUCACAUACCAACAACCUCGUCUACCCAUGUUCUACCCAACAUAUUUUUAGAUACAAAAUACAUAUAUAGUUUAACUCAUUAAAACUUAUAUAAUUCACCCAUUCCAUAAUCAUCUUAAAUAAACAACAAAAUAUUAUACACAUAGCACGUAUUUCAUAGCAAAUACUUAAUAUUUAUGUGUUAGAAGAAAGUAACCACACACUCACUUGAUUAGAAGAUGAUCGGACAGCACUACGACUUGUAGAAGUAGUAUUCUUCGGUAGAUCUGGAAGAUCUUCACAAAAAUUGGCUUCUCGCGGGCAGAGCUUCGGCUUGGGAAUCGUACUUCUCGGGAUCUUCGGGGCUUCGGGACUUGCUUCGGGUCUCGGGAAUGAUACCGGGGCUUCGGGAUAUUUCUUGCACGAAAAACGAUGCAAAAACACUAGACAAAGGGAAGAAAUGAGCAAAGAACUCGGUUGCACUCGACUUCCUUUUAUUGGGGGCUAGGAACCCAAAUUACGUUGGGCGUAAAUUACAUUACGCUGGGCGUAAUGCGGAUCAGCUCGAUGACUCCCCCCUUUGGAUAAUAUCGGAUAAUUUUUAUUUAAAUUAAAUACCGAAAAUAUUUAAUAAACUUCAAAAAUUGAUAUCUUCCUUAUACGAACUCAGUUUUCAACGUUCUUUAUAUCCUCGCGUAGGUGAGACUACGCUCUACAACUUUCGUUUAGACUCCGUCGGCUAAUUUUGAAUUUAUUUUUAUUAUCUUAUUUUAGUAGGCCGGGACAGGAAAACUCCGUUAUAAAUUCAUAACUUCUUCAUCCGACGUCCGUUUUCGCCUAUCUUUUUAUCGUUUCACUACAAUUGACGAGAUCUUCGAUUCUUGUUUAGAUUGUUUUGCCUAAAAACCGCUCGAUCUCAAAUCGAGUAUUCGGGCUGCAUACUGCUAAGCUGAAACUUAGAAAAAUCAUAACUUCCUCAUACGAAGUCAGAUUUGGACGUUCUUUUUAUGCACGCUCACGGUUUAACGAACUCUACGACUUUAAUUUAGAUCGCUAAGGCUAAAUAUCGCUCUAACAUAAAUUCACUAUUUACGUCGCGCUGUGUCGUGCCGGUUCUAUCGCGAAACUUCGACAUGUCAUAACUUAUUCGUUAUAACUCGGAUUUCGGCGUUCUUUAUAUGCACGGAAACCUUGUAACAUAUACUAUAAAUUAGUUAAUAUUAUUCAUUAUAAAUAAUCUUUCACCAAAUUCAUUUUUUUUGACGCCUAUCGUCUCUAAAUUGACUAGCCCGGAUCUACGGACGUUACAGAAUAGGAAAAUAUCACCUGUUGCCAAGAUUGGAGUUUAUAUAUUCUUUAUUGCUUAGUAGUGGAUUAGAUUUAGAUUUGAAUAAUUCUUUCUACUCGUCCGAUAUGGGGAGAAAUAUUAUUUCCUUUCAUGGUUUGUACAAACAAGGUUUUAGAUUUUCAUUUGAUCAUGAAACUGGUUCUAUUAAUGCUUUUUAUAAUGGUUUAUUUUAUUUUAAAGCAUUGCCUUGUAAUGGUGUAUAUGAAACUCUGAUUGUUGUAGACAACUUAGGAUAAUGUAUUGNUCGUCCAAUGUUUUGGACAACGCAUGUUUGUGGCAUUGUUGUCUUGAACAUGUCAACAAGAAGUGCAUCGGCCAACUCCAAAAGGCUGGAGUCUUGGAGUCAUUCGACUUAAAAUCGGAUGAAACUUGCGAAGCUUGUUUACUUGGAAAGAUUACCAAGUCACCCUUCACUGGUACUUAUGAAAGGGGUGAGGGUGUUGGAUUUCAUACACACCGAUGUGUGUGGACCCUUCAGAACCGCCACAAGGGUUACUAACCGCUUCUAUGAGACUUUUACUAAUGAUUACAACCGAUAUGGCUAUAUCUACUUAAUCAGGAAUAAGUCAUAAACCUUUGAAAAAUUCAAAGAGUUUAAACACGAAGUGGAGAAUCAGCUGGGCAGGAAGAUAAAGAUUCUUCGAUCCGAUCGGGGUGGUGAGUAUCUUAGUAUCGAGUUCCUAGAAUAUCUUAAGGAAUGUGGAAUUAUUUCAUAAUUGAUGCCACCCAGGACACCACAGCUUAACGGUGUGGCUGAGAGGCGCAAUCGAACCUUGUUAGAUAUGGUUCGUUCUAUGAUGAUUCGAGCUUCGUUACCUAUCUCGUUUUGGGGGUAUGCCUUAGAGAUUGUCGCUCAUAUCCUUAAUCAAGUCCCUACUAAAAAGGUUGCCAAAAGACCUCACGAGAUGUGGACAGGGAAGACUCCCUCAUUGGCACACAUCAAAGUUUGGGGUUGGGAGGCUUUCGUGAGGCGUGAGACUCAUGACAAGCUCGAACCUCGUUGUGAGCAUUGUAUUUUCAUCGGCUACCCGUAGAAGUCCUUUAGAUAUCUCUUCUAUAGACCGAGUGACAAUGUUGUCUUCGUUGUGAGGAGAGGAGUCUUUCGCGAGAGAGAACUCAUAUGCCACGAGGACACUGGGAGGCAAAUUGACCUAGAAGAGCUUCAAGAGUUAAGCAAUGAAGGAACCUCAAACACUAGUGGUCAACCUGAGGAGGAAACUCCUGUUGAAUCAGUUGACAAGCCCGUACCUCUGAGGCAUUCCAGUAGAGUUAGUGUUAUGCCUGUGUUAUAUGGUUUCCAUAUAACAUCUGAGGGUGAUACAUUUAUCAGUGAUAGCACACUGAUAAAUUUGGAUGAACCUAACAACUACAAGGAAGCCAUGGCAAACCCCAAGUCUGCAAAGUGGAAAGCGGCAAUGACAGCGAGAACCCGAUAGAUCCCCUCACAAUGGGACUGAGUAAGGUUAAGCAUUUGCAGCAUGCGAGGAGCAUUGGGCUGAAGGACAAUAUUAGUUUUAAUGAUUAGAUAGCUGUUUAGAAACUUGUAAUAGAUAAAAUGUAAUUGACAUUUAAUGAUCAAAUAAAAGGUGUUUAUUAUUUAUAAGUAAAGUUACUAUCUUAUGUCAAUUGUUUAAUAUUGUUUCAUUUUGCAUGUUUUGACUUGCAGAAUAAUAUGGUUAUUCAAACUAUCCACAGUUGAUCAUACUUUGGAAGUAGGUAUUGAGGCAAGAUUGUCAUGAAUUUGGCUUGUAGAUUGUCUGAAGUGUUUAGACAUAGCAAAAGAUUGCUACAACAUUCAUGAGUGCUCAUAAGGUUUGAGUAUUAGAUUAAACCCAUGCUCACAUGAAUCACUUCAUGGAAUUUAUCACGAGUGAUUGUGAGACGAUAAUAUCAUAUAGUUUUAAAACCAAGAUAUAUAAGUUGUGGACUAUGAGUUAGUUGUACAUUAAUAGUGUGAAAACGCAUCAGUAACUUGAUAUUAUAAAACACAUUGUUGUGUAUGAUUUAACAAGUAGUUAGUACAAGCAUAUAAUGUCGAAGUUUAUCUGUUUCUUUUAAUUCUUAGAGGAUUAAAAACGAUAUCUUGGGCCCCUCGAUGAUUUUGUUUCGACUUAUGUGUCGGGCCCAGUCAGGACUCAAUUGAUGUGUUCAAUUAAGUUCUAUGUGAAACAAAUCGUAAAUCGGGAAAUAAACUGCUGGAAAAUAAGUAUGACAUUGUUCCAUGUAUUUUUCCGGUUGAUAUCUUGAAGAACAGAGGAGUAUAUGAUCACCUAUCUAAAGGAAGCGUCACUGACUAGGUUAGAGUUCGACAGCGGCUUUUGAGAGCUACGAUUGCUAGUCGGAUCCUGAAGUUGCAUUGACAAUUAUAGUUAUCAGACUUAUCCAAGUGGGACACUAUUGGAUAAGGUGUCUAAGUCCAUAACUAUAAUUGGUAUGUACUUGACCCGAUAGUAACAUGGUCCUUUUGGGUUGCCUUCACCAGUGCAAUUUGAUAGGAUGGACUUUAGAGAAUAAGGUUAUUUACGAUUUAUUAAUAUAUUACAAGUAUAAUAUAUUAAUAUGAAAUCAUAUUAUUUAAUUAGUAUUGAUCAACAUUUAAUUUGGAAUCAAUUUAGUGAUCCAAAGAGACUAAUUAAAUAUUCGGGGACUGAUUAAGUAAAUCAAUUAUUCUUAUAGUGUGGGCCAAUGAUCCAUGGUUAUUUAGGAUGGGCUAAACCAAUGUGAUAGUACAUGGAUAGUCCAUGGAGGUUUAAUCCAUGGAGCCUAAGUACUACGAAAAGUCAUGGUGCAUUAGGGUUUGCAAAGAUGUAACCCUAGCAUUUGUGACACUAUAAAAGGAGUUCCCUAGAGCCAAAAUCGGUUACACCUAUCAUUCUAAGAGUUUGAUAUUGAUUUGGUGCUAACUAGAUUAAUCUCUAAAGCCUCCUCUUGCAUAUGGUGUUUGUGACACAUUAGAGGCAUCACACUUGAGGUGCUAUUGCUUUCAAAGGUCAAGAACUACAAACUACAUCAAGAGGUAUUAAUCUAAACCAUUUAUGUUGUAUAUCAUCACUUGUAUGCUAGUUAGGAUGUAUGCUUUGGAAAAAUGAAAAUGCAUGUAUAAUUAGAGAAAACAUAGAUCCAAAGCAUCUAGGGUUGCGUGUGCACCAUAAGGUUGUUAUAGUGCUCAAAACCCUUCAAAAGGAUCAGAUUUGUCUUGUUGAUCCUAGGGAUUUGCUGAAAUUUGGCGAGCUUGACAUUCAUACUUUAUCCCAACAUCAGCUUAUGGUGGAAAAUGAAAUGUUUGAAGCUGCUGCAAAGGCUUUCACUUGCAUGAUAGCGACAACCAUUGAUAAGAGGUUGUAGGCAGGAGCGUUAGCUGAUUCUGAUGUUCAUCUUGUGGAGAAGUCGUAAAGUCAGCCAGCAAUAAACCAAGGGGGAGAUUGUUGGGUCAUAUUUAAAUGGUUUAUUCUGGGCUUAUGGUUUAUUAUUGUACUUGGGUUUAGGAAUGUAGGCUUUUGGUGUUUUCGGUUAUGGGGACUGUAAUCACAUAGUGAUUUCGGUUAGCUUGGGAUUGGGCCUGUUAAGGCUUUGUACUAGGUUUGUAUAUAUUGCUUUUCAACCGAUUAGGAGGUAGUUGUUGAUCAUUAUUUGUGGUAUUCGGCUGUUAAGUGUUUCUUGGUGUACCAGACGGUUUCAUCUAUUAAAUCGUGUGCAGUAAGAGUUAUUUGUGUGUUCUUGAAUCACUAUCUGAUUUAUAUUCUGCAUUCUUUAGAUAUUUUGAUUCAUAUCGUAUUGAUCUUAGUGUUUUAGGACUUACAUAAAGCAACUCCAGACUCUUAUCUGAUCAGACAUCGGUCCUAAGAUAAGUGAAUAAAUAUUCCUUCGUUCUAAAAGUUAUCAUAUGGACAUGAUACAUUGAUUAGAAUCAAUCUCAUUAUCAGAAAUUUUGUUUCCUAAUUUCCCGAUUUGUGAUCACCUCACAAGACUUAUUAAUUGAACACAUCAAUUUAGUCGUGGCUGGGCCCAACACUAUAACUCAACACCAAAUCAUUAAGGGGCCCAAAGAUAUCACUUUUCCCGUUAGGGAAAAAGUAAUGAAUAAACUUUGACUUAUAUGCUUGUAUCCUUUACUCAUCAAAUCAUACAUGAUACUUUGUUUUAAAACAUCAUACUACUAUGCAUUUUUGCAACACCAAUGUAUAAUUGAAUUGUAAAUCACGACUCAUAUAUCUUCGUUUCAAAAAUAUAAGAUAUUAUCGUCUCAGAAUUACUCGUGAUAGAAUCCAUGAAGUAAUUCUCUGAGUGUAGGUUUAUCCAAUACUCAAAUCUCCAAUUCUAAGUACUCAUGAAUGGUAUAGCAACCUCGUUCCUAUGUCUAAUCUCUAUAGAAAAUCUACAAUCCAAUUCAUGACAUUGUUAAUUUACUACUUACUUCGAAAAGUAUGAGCGACUAUGGAAUAUGAAUAAUUAAAUUAUUCAAGAGGUAAAACAUGCAAAUCGAAACACAAGAAUAUAUAACUGACAAAGGCAGUAAACAAACUCAUAAAUAAUCUCUAUUAUUCAAUCACCAAAAUCGAUUACGUUUAUUAUGUUACAAGUUUCAACCUAAUCAUCUAAAUUGUAAAACUAAUAUCAUCUCUAAAACUAAUGCUCCUAGCAUGUUGAUUAUGCUUAACAUACUCAUAGCCUUCGUGAAAUGAUAUGCAGGGGCUGAUUAUUUAAAUGGUAUUGAUCAAGAAUUAAUUUGGAAUUAAUUUAGUAAUCAAAAGAGACUGAUUAAAUUAAUAGGGGUUGAUUAUGUAAAUCAGUGAUACAUAUAGGUUUGGGCCAAUGAUUCAUAAUUGAUUAGUGAUGAACUAUCUUUAUGUGUGACUCCAUGAAGUGUUAGUCCAAUAGGCUAUCAAAUAAAUUAUUGGAUUAAUAGCCUAAGUGAAUGAAUUAGGGUUUACAAGUGACCCUUGGAAUUCUACACUAUAAAUGUAACCCCUAAACCCUAAAAGCGACACUUAUGUAUUCCAAGAAGAAGCUAGCCGAUUUUGGUGCCACCUAGCCUCUCUCACAUUGUCCUGAUUUGUUCUUGGUGUUUUGUGACUUAUUUGAGGCAUCACAUUUGAGGUGAUAAGCUCUUGUAAGGCCAAGUUCUACAAGCUACAACCAAGAGGUAAUCAUCUAACUUGUUUUAUGUUUUAAAUAUCAAUGUUGUAUGCUAGUUAGGCUUCAUGCCUUGAAAAUGAAAAUUGCAUGUAUAACUUGAGAAAACUUAGACCCAAAGCAUUACGGUUGUAUGUGCACCAUAAGGAUGUUAUAGUGCUAAAAACCCAUCUGUGGUAUCAAAACCAAGGGUGUUUUCUGUUAUAUUGAUACAUUGGUUAAUUGUUCAAAGUUGAAAGAAGUUGAAAUCUGUUUUUUUUUCUGGCUGAACUCGACGAGUUCUAUGAGGAACUUGAUCAGUUCUAUGAGGAACUCGACGAGUUCAUGAUCAACUCGACGAGUCCAUUGCCUGACUUGACGAGUUGGAUAGUUUGUUUGCAGAUUUUUGGAUUUUUUUGGCCAGAAUUGGAUUAGGAUCAUUAUCAUAAACUGUUUNNNNNNNNNNNNNNNNNNNNNNNNNNNNNNNNNNNNNNNNNNNNNNNNNNNNNNNNNNNNNNNNNNNNNNNNNNNNNNNNNNNNNNNNNNNNNNNNNNNNCUAAAUGGUUCUAAGCAAAGGUAGCAAAGGGUGACUUAAUGUUUGCAUUGUUCGGUGGAGCGUGUGUGGUUAACUGACACAUCGAAUAGGUGACUGUAACAUGUGGGGGCACCAUGUAAGUUUGCAUGGUUAUUCACACCCGCUUUGUGAUCCUCGGUAUCCCAUUCACAAACUCGAGGGGCAUAUCGAGAUUUAAACAUGUCACUGAAAUGUUCAAUGAAUCUCAAAGGGUCUAGGAAUUUUCAAUAGAUUUAAAACUUAAUCUGUUUUUCCUUUUUUAUGGUGGAAAUUGGUAAAUCGUCAUUUACCUACCUUCAAAUAUUUUGCAACUAGAUUACGACAUCCCUCUUCUAGGUUGUAGAGUAUUGUGUUGGAUCCUAGCCUUAAUAUCUCAUUUGGGUGAUUUAAUAAGGACUUAAUCAAUCAACUAACUUGAAUUUAAUUUUUCUCCCGUUUUGUAUAUGUCAAAGUAUGACAACUAUGGUUUUCCCAAAUCCCGUGCAACUAGCUUUUCACAUGAGGAUGAUAUUCCACGAUUCGAUCGAGGAACACGAGAUCAUUCUUCACUUCCUCCACCUCCUCCUAUUAUUCUCCCUAACCCACAAGUUCAAAAGAUUGAAAAGUUCAAACUCACUCAAGCCCUUUUAGCAAGUGAACAUGACGAAGGAAAUUUAGUGUAUGCACACAUCCUAGAGAUGAAGUCACACAUUGAUAGAUUAAGAAUGUUGGGAUCUGUUGUCUGUGAGGAGCUGGCUGUUGACUGGGUUCUUCAGUCACUUCCUGACUCAUAUAGUGAGUUCAUAAGAGAGUACUAUAUGAUGAACCACGACGUAACCCUCAUUGAUCUCACCUAUAUGCUUAUUGCUGCUGAAUCAGCAAUGAUUUGGCACACUGGAAAAGCAAAGUUGAUUGGUGGAUCGACCUUCUAGACCUCUAUGGAUAUAGGCAAUGGCAACGAAAGGCAUGCCAUGAUCGAAAAGUUUGAUCAUAAGAGAAAGGCAAAGUCAGAAGUAGCUCUGUGUGUUGUUCCAAAAGAGUCAAUUUGCUUUUAUUGCCAAGAGAAGGGGCAUUGGAGACGAAGCUGCCCUAUUUACCUAAGAGAUCUAAGAGAUGGGAGAGUCAAAACGUAUGGCUCUGCUUUAGGUAAAAUCCAUUAACUAACUCUUUUAAGUUCCUAUUCUAAAUUCUUAAUACAUGAUGUGAUAAGAUUACAUUUCGAUGUCUUGUAGGAUCGAAGAAAAGAGAGGAAGCUUAAGGGAAGAAGUGAGCGGAAUCUAAUCGUGAAGAAAUGGAUUUCGAUCGCAUUACUUGAAGAUUAGAAUCUUGAGCUACUACUUGGAGUUAGAAUAAGAUUGCUAAGAAAUAUGUAUUAACAUAGUUUUUCAAUUAAAUUGCAUUGUAAGGACAAAUUUUUNGAUCGAAGAAAAGAGAGGAAGCUUAAGGGAAGAAGUGAGUGAAAUCUAAUCGUGAAGAAAUGGAUUUCGAUCGCAUUACUUGAAUAUUAGAAUCUUGAGCUACUACUUAGAGUUAGAAUAGAUUGCUAAGAAAUAUGUAUUAACAUAGUUUUUCAAUGAGUUGCAUUGUAAGGACAACUUUUUUCCGCAAUAAAAUAAAUUUUGAUUUUUUUAUUAUUUAUUUAUGCUUGCAAUGACGUGUAUGAAAAAUUGAUGUUUGAAAGUUUCUAUUAUUAGCAAUAAUGGAUUUGAUUCUUAAUUAUGCUUUUUGUGGAAAGGUCAAGAAUUUAUCAAAUAGGGAAACUUUCUCAUCGCCCAAGUUUCAAUUGGAUAGAAACUUGGAAUCAUACAACAAGUAUUGCAUGAUGAAUGAGAAGUUUCAUAUUCAGAAAUUAGACUAAUUCGUUGACAAAGUGUCAAGUGAAGGGCUAGGAGAUCAAGUACACAAAGGUUGUGUGUUGAUCAAGUCCACCACAAGAGUGACAAAGAUAUUAGUCAUGAUUUACUAAAGGUUUAGUGGAUAUGAUUAUACUUAUAAGAUUGAGUGUAAUUCCAAGUUGAUUUGAAAGAGUUUAAAUCAAUAGCAGAACGAAUAAGAAGAAUCAAGUAGGCAGAAAGAUAAACGUUUCUCUAUUUUAAGAAGAAGGGAGAGUACCUUUAUUAUGUUUUAUGAUAGGUCUUAAUGAUUAAGAACCAUAUCUCAAUUGAUCCUCUAAGUGAGUCUUAGUGCAAUUGUAUGUCUGAGAAGAGGAAUCAAGAAUUGAAGAAAUGGUUAAAUCAAGAAGUCAAUCAUACUUCGUUCCAAAACAAGUCUUAGAGUUAAGAUUGUGACAUUGAGUGACAAGUCUUAAGUAGGUUUAUAACAUUCAUCAAAUGUGGAAUUUGAAAAAGGGUUUUCUUAUUACUGCACAUUUGAAAUUGGAAAGUUGUGAUGUCUUAGGUAAGACAAAGACCAACUAUGACCAAUUUUGUGAAAUGCUUAUUCUUGAUAAAAGCUACACUAAUCCUUGAAUAUUUGUUUGUCGAGAAAUGUUUAUUGACAAGAGAAUCUUAUAUGUCAAGGAGUUAGUGGGAGUCUUAAUGGUCUUGAAAAUUUUCAAGAACAAAUCAAGAAUAAACCUUAUCGAUCAUCACUAGCACACGACUUGAGGUUUACAACCUAUCGUGUUGACACUAUCUUGUUUCUGUGCCAUUCCAAUUGAGUUAAUUAUGCAUGUGAGUUCUAUGAGUUCUCAUUUGAAUGCAUAAAAGGCAAGGACUUUGAUCAAUGAAAAGUACAUUGAUAAGAAAGGGCGAGCUGCUUAACUGCUUGGAAGACAUGGUGGCACUCAUGUUACCAUAAGGCAAGAAAUCAAGAUUAAGAAAGUUCGGUCCAUAAGAGUUUGGAUUUGUCGCAAACUUUGGUUUGGACAAAUUCGCAUGGAUAGGAACACAUACACCAUUAAAAUAUAAGUGUCAUAAGAUUCCCUCCUUCAUGAAAAUGACUGUGAGNAUGCUUUCACCAAGAGAUAUUUUAAGAAGAUAGUGAUUGUGAAAAUUGUAUUCUCGAAUUUGAUUAUGGUUACGGUAUCCCUUUCCAUAAUUAGAGUUGUAAGAUAUGGCAAUUAGUCUGAAUUGUUUAAGACACACAUAUAUGAGAUUAAGAAGCUUAGAUAAAAGAUUAUCAAAGCAUUAGGUAUUAGAAAUAUUAACUUAAGAAAUUCAAUAAGUAUUGUUUUUUUUUCUGGAAGUUAAGCUGUUUUCUGAAUACAUGUCAAAGCUAGUGGGAGCAUAAGUGUUAUGCUUAUAUGAUAAUAAUCAUCAUGAUAGUGGGAGCAUAAAUGUUAUGCUUGUAUGAUUAUUAUGGCAAGUAUUGCAAGUUAGCAAUAUUAAUUAUAGAAAACAAGAGUUAUACUUUGCAAAGUCGUAAGGGUUGAAAAGUUGUUUUGCUAUAAUUAAGGGAGAGAAUAUUAUGCUUCAUUUCAAAUCUAAAGGCUUAGGUUGUGGAAUGUUAAUAAAUUUAGUCAACGAUACGUAGUGUGUUCUCAAAUUUCGAUUAUGAUUAUGGCAUAGUUCGAAUUUGAGAGCGUGGCACAUAAAAUAUUAUGGCAGAAGAUUGAUAAAGUAUCAGAUCUUUAUGUAAUACAUUAUGCAUCGUGUCCCAUACGCUUCGGGUAUAGGAUCGAUUGCAAAUGCUAUAAUAUUUGACCAUUCUAAAAUUUUCCAAAUGUCUAGCGCAUUAAGAGGGAAAAAGGACAAGAAUCGGUUUUGACUAAGAUAAUUAAACAACUAUCAAAGGACGAUCCAAAGCUCGCUGAGGAUUGGUCACUUGUGAGUAGUUGGAAGCAUGAUAUUGGAUGGACCAUAUCGACAUUAUUAUGAAUAGAUAAGAUUCAAUUAAGAAUGAGUUGUCAUAUGGAAAAUAUGGAAAUGUUUCCAUAUUGGGAGUUGGAUAUUGAGAGUCUAUGUCUAGAUUAGAAAAUUUUAUGCAAAAGGAUGUUCAAAGGAAUGUACUUUGAGUGAGAGACAUCACGUCUAUGGAAUUGUAUUGUAACAAUCUCAAAUAGAGGACUUUGUAAUUUCAUUGGCAAUAGUCAUUGUGANNNNNNNNNNNNNNNNNNNNNNNNNNNNNNNNNNNNNNNNNNNNNNNNNNNNNNNNNNNNNNNNNNNNNNNNNNNNNNNNNNNNNNNNNNNNNNNNNNNNNNNNNNNNNNNNNNNNNNNNNNNNNNNNNNNNNNNNNNNNNNNNNNNNNNNNNNNNNNNNNNNNNNNNNNNNNNNNNNNNNNNNNNNNNNNNNNNNNNNNNNNNNNNNNNNNNNNNNNNNNNNNNNNNNNNNNNNNNNNNNNNNNNNNNNNNNNNNNNNNNNNNNNNNNNNNNNNNNNNNNNNNNNNNNNNNNNNNNNNNNNNNNNNNNNNNNNNNNNNNNNNNNNNNNNNNNNNNNNNNNNNNNNNNNNNNNNNNNNNNNNNNNNNNNNNNNNNNNNNNNNNNNNNNNNNNNNNNNNNNNNNNNNNNNNNNNNNNNNNNNNNNNNNNNNNNNNNNNNNNNNNNNNNNNNNNNNNNNNNNNNNNNNNNNNNNNNNNNNNNNNNNNNNNNNNNNNNNNNNNNNNNNNNNNNNNNNNNNNNNNNNNNNNNNNNNNNNNNNNNNNNNNNNNNNNNNNNNNNNNNNNNNNNNNNNNNNNNNNNNNNNNNNNNNNNNNNNNNNNNNNNNNNNNNNNNNNNNNNNNNNNNNNNNNNNNNNNNNNNNNNNNNNNNNNNNNNNNNNNNNNNNNNNNNNNNNNNNNNNNNNNNNNNNNNNNNNNNNNNNNNNNNNNNNNNNNNNNNNNNNNNNNNNNNNNNACGCGUAUCUGAUAAGAUCAGAGUUGACAGCGGCUUUGGAAAGCUACGAUUGCAGAUCAGGAUCUGAAGUCAUACGCAUAAUAGUUAUUAGACUUAUCCAAGUGGGAGACUGUUGGAUUAGUGUCUAAGUCCAUAACUAUUUUGGUAUGUACUUGACCCGAUGGUGCAUGGUCCUUUUGGGUUGCCUUCACCAAAGCAACUUGAUAGGAUGAAUUAUGGAGAGAAAGGAUAAAUUAUGAUUUAUUAAUAUAUUAUGAGAAUAAUAUAUUAAAGGAGAAAUCAUAUUGUUUAAUUAAUAUUAGUCAAGAAUUAAUUGAUAAUUAAUUUUGUGGCUAAAAGAGAUUAAUUAAACUUAAAGGACUGAAACUGUAAUUAUAAGAUAAUUGCAUUUGGGCUAUGGAUCACCUUGGAAUAAUGGGUUGGACGAAUUCUAUGGGGAAACCCAUUAAAAAUCGUCCAAGGGUUAUACUAAAAGGGUCCAUGGGCUGCUUAGGGCUUAAGCAGUCAGAUUAGGGUUUCCUAGUUGAAAACCCUAAUAGCCUACAUGUAUAUAUAGCACCCUUAAGCCCCAAAAACGUGGCUAAGAGUUCCUCUAGGGUUUCUAGACGUUUUUGGGCAGUCUCCUCUCUCCUUGUACUUCAUCCUCUUGCUAUUGGUGUUUGUGAGCCAUUAGAGGAGUGACAAUUGUGACUUUAAGCUUUCUAAAGUCAUUGUAAGGAGGAAUUGAGAUUGUUAUUGCUACAUAACAAUCAAAGGUAAUUCUCUAAACCCUAAUUUCAGUUUAUAACAUGUUAGACCUAAGAUUGUAAGUCUUGAAUACAUUGCAUGUACAAUAGAGAAACCUAGAUCCAAGCAUUAGGGUUUGCAUGAGGACAUAGGAUGUUUUGAUGGCUAAAAGCCAUCAAUUUUAACCCCAAAAUUGUUCAUUUUUAUUUAUUCAAAUAUAUCAGAGUAUAGUUACAUUAUGCAGAAACAUGUUGCGAAUGCGUGUAUGUAUAUUUGAACCUUUCCCUUCUCACCAACCCAUGAAGCUCCUAAAAAACAUUUAUAAACAACUGGGUAAGCAUGAAGCUUACUGAGUUCCCUAAAAUACCAUAUACCAGAAUAUAUAUCGUGCGCUGCCUACUAAGCAUAUAAACGGGCCUCGCCCACCCGACAUACAUAACAAUAUUAUAUACAUAGAGACUACACUUUUAAGUUCUAUUACCACAGGCACAUAGUGGCUAUUAUUUCUACUCUGCUAACUUUAAGUACACUAACAUUGAGCACCUAGAGACUAUGAUAUCAACUCUACUCCACUAGAUCCUAAUGUCCUUGGAUAUGUAUUGUAAUACAUUGUACAAUAAGGUAACUCACCUGGACAGUUACUUAGAUGAUUAAAAGAUAUCUGGUAAUCCUACUUGCAAUCCAAGUGGCAGGUAACACAUCUAACAAGUAUUAAGAGGGAUCUUAGCGAAAUUCAGCCAAAUCGCAGGCAGGGCUUCGAUACCGAGCACUUUUAUUUACCUGACCCUCUGCCUAAGAGCUUUAAUAAAAUGGAGUUUCUCAAACUCCCAAAAAUACCCCAAAAGUUGGAUCUUGGAGAGAGAGAUGUGAGAGUUUGGAGUGAAGAUGAUGUGAGAAAUGGAAGAAAACAGAGAUGUCUAUUUUAUAGUCGAGAGGCGCGUUGCGCACUAUAGAUAUGUGCCGUUCAUCUUGUCAGGGAUGAUGCCAUGACUUCAUUCAGAUGGUGACACGUGGCGGUUUUUAGGUGGAAUGUCGGUGCACGCAACGCCCCUUGUCGACGCACGCCCAAACACGCACGAAUUUUUAGUUUCUUCAAAAAUUCAUAUCUUCUUUAUACGAGCUCUAUUUUCGAUGUUCUUUAUAUCCAUGCAUAGCUAUGGAUGAGAUCUGUAACUUUCAAUUAGAAUCGGUCGGCUAAUUAUCACUUUAUUUUUAAAGUUAUACUUUUAACUGGCUUAGAAUGUUAACGUUCGUAUAAAUAUCAUAACUUGUCCAUAUGAAUUCCAUUCUCAACUGUAUUUAUAUUGACGAAAUUGUAUCUAUGAGAUCUUCAACUCUCAUUUAGAUUGUUUCGGCUAACAAUCGACUGAGUUCCAAUUCGGUUUCUGUGUCGUACAUUGGUAUGCUGAAACUUCUAAAUCAUAACUUCCUCCUACGAAGUCAAAUUUAGGCGUUCUUCAUAUGCACGAGUUCAUUUUUCCGAUUACGAAGACUUUCAUCAAGACUAUUUAUCCUAAAUAUCCUUCUAUCCAAAAUCCUUAAUUAACUAGUCGUUUAUAUUGUAACGCGAAAAUAUGGUGUUACAGUGUUCGCCAAAAAAUGUAAACGAGAGUUGAUGAUCUCGUAAACAUGAUUCCAUUGAUAUAAAGAAAGUCGAGAACGGAACUCGUAUGAAGGAGUUAUGAUUUUUAUACGGAAUUUAACAGUCUAAUCUUAUUAAAAAUAUCAUUUUAAAAUUAAAUUGAGAAUUAGCCGACAGAGUGUAAAUGAAAGUUGUAGUAUUCGUCGAUAGUUACGCAUGGAUAUAAAGAACGUCAAAAAAAAGAGCUCUUAUGAGAACUAUAUGAUUUUUAGAAAAUUUGAUAAAUUUCCUGUGCACACUUUUUUUAGAAGGUGGGAUGCAGCUCGCCCGAUUUUCGACACGUGCAAGCAAACUGUGGGAACAAUGUAGCAAGAAUUUGUGGCGCGUCCCUUGGAUACGCGUGGCAUGCCUAGAAAAAUUUGGAUAUGAACAGAAGGCCAAGCCUUCAUUCAUUCCUCACACCUUCAACAAAAUCUCUUUGUAAUUCUCUUAGGUUUUACCUCAAAUUUCCCUAGAUUUUUUUUGAAGCAUUUAGUACAACUUUGAAUUGUUGGAGACUCCAACAAAUAAAAGCUUUCAGAUCUGAAUUCUGCCAGCGAAAUUUUCAAACAUUUUUUAGGAAUCUCUGUAAGUUAAGCUAGACUUAUUAUGUUUUAGGUGUAACUUAUAUUUAUAUUCAUAGUCAUUUUUAUGAAUUUAUAAAUAAGAUUUAUGUAACAUCCAUAAUAAUCAUGCCAAAUUUAAACUUUUUAAAACAUUUUCAAAACCAAGAUUAUUACAAAACAUGUUUCCAAAAUAGUAUAAUGCCAGAGUAUCCCAAAAUUAAAUCAUAAAAACAUGAAAUAUGAGGAGCUGUACGAUCACGCCUUCGCCUUCACGCGAUCAUCAGAAGUACCUGAAACAAUAAUCGAUAAAUGUAAGCUCGAAGGCUUAGUGAGUUACCCCCAAAAUACCAAUGCCAUAUAGAUAUAGCCAUGUCAUGUAAACAUAUAAGCAAACAACAUGCAUAAUGAGCCAUCAGUCUUACUGGACCGACUCCCGGUCCUCAGUCUAUCUGGACCGCUCUCUGAGCCCUCGGCACGUAUGGACCGCCCUUCUCGGGGCCUUCAGCCUAUCCGAAUCGCUCGCUAGGCCUUCGGCCUGACUAGAUUUGCCCGACUCGGGCUUGCAGUCUACCCAGUCCGCCCAGGGUGUCUUGGCCUACUGCACACAGCAGGACCUACCUCAACCCUUUCCCCAAACCAAAAAACAUGUGCACAUACAUAUAAACAACUAAACAUGCAGAUAUAACAGAUCAGUAAUCAUAGCAACGAUCCUAUAACCAGAAUAUAUAUACCAUAAAGCAUAACAUGAAAUAAACUCGGAUACAAAUCUGAAAAGGGUCGACAUCGGUGCCUUAGACCCAUUUAAUUUAGUGAGGAUAACUCACCUCAUAACUAUCAUGCUGAAGCGAUAUUCAUCGGACUCGCUGAGUUGACCAUGCAACUCUCUGAGUCCCUUCAGUCCUUUCUCCAUUCAGAUGCUUUUUAAGCCAUUCCAAAGCUCCAUAAUGUAGAUCUAAGCUCCUAAGGCAUACUUCUUACGUAAAGUUGCAAACUUUACAUUCAUCCAAGAUGACAAUGACUUAAAUCAAUCUAAAGAAGAGAUUCUGGGCAAGGGAAAUACACUUGCAUGCUAAAGAAUGAGACUUUAAGAUAUUGUAAGGACCAAGAUGAGCCUAAAUCUGAAGUUGCAACUCCAAAUCUUGGUUCAUCACUCGAAAUGAAGUACCAACAUACCAAAAUGGCCCUAAAACACAAAUAUAGAAGGAUCUAGCUAGAAGAAGUUCAAGGUAACGACUUCAUACCCUCAAAUGAUGCUAAACUUGGGCAGACUUCAGAUCCACACACGUUCCUUGCCUCAAACUUCUUGAUCUUCAAGCUCCUUUCACCAAGAUCCACCUUUCAAUCUUAAAACACACAAGUAUGGAGAGAAAACCGCGAUUUAGGGUUUUUGGACUCACAAGUGGCUGUAAGGGAGGCUAAGAGAGGCUAAUAACCCUUUAAAUAGGGUGCAAAACCUUGGAAAUUAGGGUUUCAUCCUCCAGCUCCAGCUCCAACUCGUCGAGUCAGGGCCUCCAACCCAUCGAGUAGACUUUUCAAUAUGAAAGAAUAAAGAUGAAAACUAAUACCUAAGAGUUUGGGCGUUACAAUUCUCCCCCAAUUGAACUAGACUUCGUCCUCGAAGUCCGCUGC
rnacentral:lncRNA from 1 species